AUAUAUACCUUCCUAUUUUUCAUAAUGGUAUUUCGCUGUGCAUCCAAAUGAUUGCCCUUCUAUUUGCCAUUUUCUUGCCUUGUUUCUGUUUCUGUGACAAAGGGUGGCAUUACUUAUGUUAGAGGAUAUCCUAUGAAGGUAGGAGGCAUCUAGAACAGAGUUGACGUUUCGGUUGCAUUUGCAAGUUAGAUUCCUGGGUAGAAUCCCAUCAACGUUUGUAUCCAAGUUCUUUCAGUUUUUUUGGUUAUCUUGUGUCAUGAAGUUUGAGCUAUAAUGCAACUGAGUGUCCUCUCACAUUGCCUUAAAGUUCUAUUACUGAGGUUUUGCGGAUUGAAUUCAGUAUCUUGCAUUCUAAUUUGUCUGAUUAUCUUAGUUGGUAUGCUAUCCUAGUAUUGGCACAUACAACUAAGAAAGGUGAAGGACCAUGACUGGCAAAAAGGGCACAUUCUGGUGUUCUUAUAGAUGAUGGGAAUUAUGAGGUCCCAAUUGGGAGUGUGCUCAAAUCUGUAUUUGUUUGUUCUAAGUUCAACAGCCAGGUUAUAAAACAAUGCUUACGAUUACAUGAGCUAUACCAAACACAUUUAUGCCAAUUGACAAGCUGCUUCUCUCUAAUUGCAUUCCAUUUGCAAGCAAAUCUAUGCCUUCCAUCAGAGUAGCAAUGGCAGGAUGCUAGAAAAGGGAUCCUGCAUAAAGUAGCUAGCCUUGCAGCAAAUCGUCAGAUCUUGAAUCCAUGCUUCCCAAACAACUAUUGAUUAAGAUCAAGAGAUGGACCUGAACCAUAGACAAUUUCUUGUUGGAUAUUUAUCAAGCAAAGGGCCAUAAGACGCCACGAUUAAACCAUAAGAAAAAUGUACUCCCCUACUCAAUGUGCACUUCAUUAGCUGCCUGGCUAUUUUGCACAGCUUCAACACUUAAUUCAGUAAUAGAAAGAGUCAAAGCGCAACUUUAAAGGCCAUAAACUUUUCCCUUUUUGUUUAUGAAUUUCAAUCCAAGAUAUUCAGAAGUAAGUAGAUUUCAAGAAAAUGCUCAAAUUAUACAUCAGGAUACAAGCAUUAUUCCAUUCUAGUGAUAUCAUUUAACCCCUAAGCAUACUUGCUUCUUAGGUAGAUACACCUUUUGCUCCAUGUGCAAAAGAGCUUUUCCAAAGAAAAUAUCAUGCUUUGCUCGAUUUGUUUUAUUAGUUCUCUUGUGCAGGAUGAAAAAUAUGGCAACAAUAGUUCACAAUUAUAGAGUAGCUAAUAAGUCGUAAUUGAUUAGCAUGAUAAAUUCACUGAAGUGAAAUUUACUGCUAUAGCUCCACACCAACAAUUAUAGAGUAGCUAGGAAUAGUACUUUCAUCUUUCCUCUCAAGUCAAGAAUUCAGUGGGAACAUGAAUUGCAUCAAUAGAUUAAUAAAAAUUAAAAAAAAAAAGAACCUCAAACUUCAUAAGUCAAGAAUGCAGUGUGAGCACCGUCUAUUCAUUUUUGGUUUGAAAUGAGGGAGGGGUCCAUGCAUGUGUGGUGCAUGGAACGUGGAGCGUCCAUGUAUUGUCAGCUUUAUCAAUCAAACAGCCUCUGUAUCGCUGUGACAUGUGAGCGUUUGAUUAAUGAAGAGGUGGUCCUUGUACGAGCUCUGUCUACUUUUAUCGAAAGAAACAAAGACCAAAAGCAAGGGAAGAACACGGGAAGAUACAUAUGGCCAUUGAAAAAAUCACAUGCUUGCUAGCUGGUAAACGUUUAGCCGACUGAUGAGUUCAGGUCCUCAUGUGAGAUUGAUUUAGUUAUUUUAAAUUAUUAUUUGAAAUAAUAUUCAUUUUAGGUCAUUUUUUGAUGAAAUGACUACUCUAUGCUUUUUUUUUAUAAUAUUCUUGAAUAAUAACUAUCAAGCCUUUCUGUUAAUAAAAAAAAAAUGUAAUGGAAAUGAAUCAAUGGAGUCAAGCCUUGGAUUCCCUCUAGAUUUGAGCAUGUAAAAGGAACAGGGUGGUGGGGGCCACCUGCCAUCAAAAUCAACUUUGAUAAUUUUUCUUUCCAGACUAGAGUUGUGUGGACGGAAGUUAGCAUGGAAGUGAUGAGCAAAAAUUUCCUUUUGCUUUUGACUAAGCCAAAAAGGCAAAGGAAAAAAAAGGUGAGAUAUCAUCAAAUCACAUGAAACAUCCGAUGUUAGUGGACACUUUAUACUUUUAAAGUGUAUCCUCAUUAAAGUUGAAACACGAAAAUCCUCUUUUGCAUUAAAUAAUUUGAAUAUGCAUCCUUCACACUUAGACAAAGUCUUUCUUAUGAACUUUCCAAUGAAAUAUUGAAUUUUUUUGGAAAUGACUCUACUCUAUGCUCUUUUUUAGAACAUUCUCAAAUAAUGAUUAUCAAGCCUUUAUAUUAAUAAUAAAUAAAUAAAUAAAUAAUGUAAUGGAAAUGAACCAAUGGAGUCAAGUUCUUGGGUUCGCUCUAGAUUUGAGCAUGUAGAAGGAACAGGGUGGUGGGGGCCACCUGCCAUCAAAAUCAACUUUGAUAAUUUUUCUUUCCACACCAGAGUUAUAUGGAGGGAAGCUAACACGAAAGUAAUGAGCAAAUAUUUCCUUGCGCUUUUGACUAAGCGAAAAAGACAAAGAAAAAAAUCAUCAAGUCACAUGGAACAUUCAACCUUAUUGGACGCUUUAUACUUUUAAAGUGUACUCUUAAUUAAAGUCCAAACACGAAAAUCCACUUUUGGACUAAAUAAUGAAUAUGUAUCCUUCACAUUUAGACGAAGUCUUUCUUAUGAACUUUUGCAUGAAAGUAUCCGAUUGUUUUGGAAACGACUUACACUAACCUGACUGGUAGUAGGACCUCUAAAAAGUGGAUUCCCAAAAAAAGCAUCCAGCAAAAAAGGCCCCACAUUAACAAAAGAUUCUUUGCUCCAAAGUAAUAGAAAAUAAGCUAUUAGCACACCAAUUAAUCAUUUAAAGGUGUUCUUCUAGAAAAUUUCUCAUUUCUUUGGAUUUACAUAUUAGAACCAUUACAUUAUUUUCAAUUGGAUGAAAAGCUUGAUCUAUUUCCAUUACAGAAGGUUAUAAAAUUGUCUAAUGAUUAUUGCUUUAUGGGAUGUGGGAAAAAGGUGCAAAAGGAUACAUAUGCCUCUCUGCAUUUGGCCCGUGAAUCUAUCAAAUUCCUCCUCUGACACUUGUUAAUCAUACUAUUGUUUAAUUAUAUAUUGUGAUGAAAAUAUAUCAUCAACUCUCUUAAUUUAUCAACAUGUGAUGCUAUGAUAUUUAAAAAUUUCAAAUAAACACAAGCAAUAUUUUGCCCCAAAUAUUGAGUAUGCUCCAUUGUAUUAAGUAUAUACACACAAAUAUAAAUUAAGCAAUUUAUUAAAUAUGUUAUAUAUAUAUAUAUAUAAAUAAAAAGGAGUAACGAUAGAGGAAUGCUAGAACCAUUUUAUAGUGGUCUGGUCCAAAUGGGUGCCCACUCCAUUUCCAGAGACUAAUCAAGAUUUAUGCCUAAUCAACUAUACUUUGCAAUGGAGCCAACAUUCUUCCAUAAACACAGCACACUCUUUUACAAAGAAAUGCUCUCAUAAGAUUGAUCUCUCAAGAAUUUGAUUGCAAAGUGUAUAAAAGAGGGAUAUUGCAAGUACUAAUAGUGUACAAAAACAAAAAAAUUGUUGGCAGAAAAGGUCACCGACCACCCGAUUUUCUAAUAAGGAGUCACUAACACUUUCAUGAAAUAUAUGGUAUGCUUCCAUCAAAUUCUGUGUUAAGAAAAUAAUGUGUAUAAUUUGCUUAAUUAUAUAGAAUGUAAUACAUGAAUCAAAUGAUUAUAUGCAUCAGACCUUCGUGGAAUCAUACAUUCACGUACAUUUGAGUUUAGAUAGAUGGAGUCCCCACCCAUUGAAUGGAAGUGCUGUCCAUUAAUUCAAGUUUUGUCGUUACUCCACUCCUUUUUCUGGUGCGUGUAGAAUGGAGUGUCGGUGUAUUGUCAGCAUUCUCAAUCGAACAGUUCUCAUCCUAUUGUGAUGUGGAAGAAUAUAAUGUGGGACACUGGCCGACAUUACUCAAUUUUGCUGAAGUUUUCUCUAAAUAAGAGCGAGGAAAAGAGCUAUACAAAGAUUGUUAAUGUAGAUAUCUAACAGAGAAGUAUACAAAUGAAAGAAAGGAAAGAAAUGAAACCCAAAAAAAACAAGAAGAAAAAGAAAAAAGAAGAGGAACGAAAGAAAGUGGACUUUCAAUGCACAAUGCUGAACCAUACCUCAUGAAUGUUAAUUGUUAUGUUAAGAUGAGAAGAUUUCUGCUGUUGAAUUUGACUCAGUUGCUAUUGAUUGCGCGUAAGGUUCGACAUUUUACUCACUAUAAAUUAAAAGUGAAAUUUAAAACACUUUAUGCACUAGCAAAUGCACGUCCAACACAUUAAAAGUCAUAUUUAAUGACGUUUUACAAUGUCAAGUUUUUUAUUACAAUAGAAUAUUGCAAAUCUUUGUGAAUCGUCACAAAUAGUAAUAAAAAAUUUCAAACUUGUGGCCUUAAAGCUAUCGAUUACGGUUAACAUUGUAGACCUUUAAAUACUGAAGCAUGGAGCUAAAGUUGACGGUGGGGGCAUUGUUAAAAAAGUAGGUAUAGCUGACACGGUACAUGAGAUGUGACGUUGGAACAACAAUAAGAUAUGAUGACAUCAUGUUUGAUUACAUUGUUUGGCUUUUAAGGCCCAUUUAAUAAUAAUUUUAUUUUCUAGAAUAAUUUUUAAUUUGAAAUGAUUUUUUUAUUCAGUUCUUAUGAAUAAUUUCUAUACAAAAUAACGCAUUUGGUAACUAUACAAAAUUUCUAUUUUUAGAAUAAAAACGUGUUUGAUAAAAUUCUUAAAUUUUUUUGUUUCUUUUACAUUUUUUAUACUUUUAUUAUAUUUUUCUUAUUUUUUUUCAUUUUCUCUUCUUCUUCAUCCUUAGUGGUUGGUGAUUAGCUAGGCGAGGUUCAACAAGCUCACUAGGCCACUGGCAAAGCUUGACCUCGCCCAAGCUAUGCGAGGUCGGCCUCACCCUGGCUUGGUGAGGCCUAGCCUCGUGCCAAUUGGUGAGGCCAAGCCUCAUUGUGGCUGGGCAAGAUCAGCCUAGCUGGGCCACCGCCAAGUCAGCGUUGCCAGGGGUCGGUGACAUCGCCAGCAAAUCUCUCACAAGGUUGUUAGCCCUCGCCAUGGCUGAGGCCGACGACCAGCCAAAAGGAAGAAGAAUAAUAAUAUGAAAGAGAAAGAGAAAAGAGAAGAGAAAAGAAUAAAUUAGACAUGAUUCUAUGAAUUGUUCCCGAGAACAAAAAAUAACUUUUUUAUGCUUCUUGAUUUCGUUCUAAAUCCAUUCCUGAGAACAAAAUAACGGAUUUUUGUUUUCGGGAACAAAAAAUUUAUCAAAUAGAUUUCUAUUUUUUUUUGGUUCCGAGAACAAAAGAACACAAUUAGUUAUUCAUAGGAGUGUUACCAAAUAGGUCCUUAGCAUGUCAGAGGAAGAUGGGAUUGUACCGACGUUUGUGUUAGGUUAGGCAAUACAAUAUUUACCUAGUACCGAUUCCGACGCUUUAAAAGGCUUUCUUUCCCUCAGCCAAUCAAUAAACCAACCAGAAAUCUAGCCUCCAAUCAGGAUUGCACGAAAUUAUAGUCAUAGAAUUUAUCUUGACUUGUCAAAAUCAUUAAUAAUUCAGUUAACAAUAAAUCAAUGUUAAACAAAUAUUCGUAUCGAUCAUACGUCCAACUAACGCGGUAAAUGCGAUUUUCAAUGAAGAAAAGUUUCAUGCGCAUAUCAUUAACUUUUUUAGGCACACACACAUUAUAAUAUUACUGAAAUACUUAUAAUAUUCUGUGUUUUAGGGGCCCUUUUGAAAUUCUUUAAAAGUUACUCAAGGAAAACAACUAUAAUUUUAAAUUGUAAGUAGCAUAUUUGAGUGAGCUUAAUAAUUAGCAAAUGUGAAUUAGGGUCAACAUAGACCUAGUUCUACAUUUUUUUUUUUAAAUAUAGUUCUGAAAACUUCUUUUAGAUGAAUAUAACGUGUACAGUCUUUUGAAGUCCCUUUAGUCAAAAUCACGGAAAAAAGAAUUAUGUGACUUUUACUUCUCCAAAAAAGAGAAAAUAUUGAUGUGAAAUGACACCACUUGAAAUUAUCAAGCUCAUGGUUAGAAUCUUCCGUACAAUAUCAUCUAUAUGCGAUGGACAGAUAUGCCGUGUGAAUGCACUUGGAUCAAUGUACCCAAAGUUUCUGCACGAGAGAAAAAAAUUUCCAAAUCCAAUGUGUGAAUGCAUUGGGAUUAUAACAGCCAAAGUAAGAUCACGAGUGAAAUAAGAGAGGGAAGAAAAUUUCCAAAUCUAGCAUGUGAAUCGCACAUGGAUUGAUGCAGCCACAAUUGGAGCGCUCGUGGAAAACGUAAAUCUUGACAUUCCUGAAGAAGAUCCACCAAAUAAAGACACGGUGAUUGCACUUUUAAUUAGCAAUUUUUGCAAUUUCACAUACUCCUUGUGAAGAUGAUAUGCUAGACACAGUGAUUCAAUAGGUAGUAACCAUUGAAGGGAUCAUAUGAACCACACAUAUCACAUGAGGUAUGAGAAAAAGAGAAUACAAACCGUGUACUAUCUUGUACUCCAUUGAAUAAGUUUUGUUUCAUAAAUUUUUUUUUGACUCAGGACAAAUAGCAAGUAGAACCUCCCAAUGAUUUAUCAGCUCACGACCUCACAUUAGAGGACUGCAUCACUAUUUGCUUCUCUCGGUGUGUUGUCCUUACAACCCACAAUUCCAUUUACAUAAAACUGGUACACUGGUACAAAAGAUCAUGGCCUCAUGCUUGAUUUACCUUUACCUUUUUGGGUAUCCAAGGAGGACAAAUGCUUUUAUCCCAUCGGCUCGGUGCACAAACACCAUAUAAUACACGAAUUUGAUCUCAUGGUGGCAUGUAGCCAAGACAAAAGAAUUAGCAUCUAAGCAUUUGUAGUCUAAUUACAUCCAUAAGGAAAAGUAUUGUAUAGAUUGAUUCUAUGAAUUUAGAUAUGGUGCCAUUUGAUUUUCAGAUAAGCCCAAAAUGAAAAUGAUUGAUACUGUAUAUUUAUGUUCUUUGAUACACUGAAAAAGCCAAGAGUAUCUUACGAGCAGAUGAGUAUAUAAAAGGGAAAGGGCCUCUAGGUAAUAGUCUUUUCCGCCAAAUUACGAGCAGAUGAGUAUAUAAAAAGGGAAAGGGCCUCUCUGGGUAAUGGUAUUUUCCACCAGAAGCAAAUCUGCAGCAUCGGGUAAAGUAAGAUGGGAAAGGCAAUCUUUCAUUUCAUUAUAAUUAUUACGAACCUCGAAGCAGAGCAAAAGUCAAAAAAGAAAAACUUAAUAGUAAAAAAGAAACGUACGAUAACGAUGAGGAACGACCAAAACGGCACUGUUGCUAAACCAAAGGAGUAAGGACCAGCCUGUUAGCUUAGUAAUAGUGCCGUUAGGCAUGCUGGCCUUACUGUGAACUUUUCACCCACCUUCAUUUAUUCUAAACGCGGAAGGUUAUUAUACUUGCUUAUUCAAUAGUAACUGGAAUCAAAAUUUUUAUGUUGUGUCUACCUUCACUACCAUGAGGCUCUAUUAUUUACUGUCUAUCUUUAUAUUCUUAAUAGAGAGGGAAUAUACAGGUGAUAUUACGGAGUCUUUAACCUCUAGACGGAUCUCUCAUCUAUUUUUUUCUUUUGAGCCUUUUAAGGACUUGUUCAAUCCGUGACGUCAACGGUGAGGAACGAUCAAAAUGAAUGUCCCACUAAAUAAGAAAUCCGCAUUUCCCGGGAUUAUAAAAGGGAAUGCGAUGAUGACAAAUGGGAAUCACGUGAAGGAGCAAAUAGAAAUUAGAUUUUUUUCUCUUUGUGAAUCUUUUUCAAAUUAAAAAGUGGGUUAAUACCCUAAAAAACUCCAAACCGGUACACAUAUAACAAAUUUACUCAAAACUAUUUUUUUUACCACCAAAAACCUCAAAUUGGUAUACAUCUAACAAAUUUACCCCAAACCGGAACACUUGUGACAAAUUUGCCCUUUGUUAGUUUUCGUUAAAUUUUAUUGUCAAAUUAUUAAGUUAUAUGACACGUGACAAUUAACUGGUAUACCAAUUUCAGAUUUUAUACUCUGUUUGUCAUAAUUUACAAUUUUUGUGAUUUUUUUCUAGUAUUAAUCCAAUUUUGCAAGACUAUAUUUGUCACAAAUUUACCAGUUUGGGGUUUUUUGUGGUCAAAUAAAUUAGUUUGGGGUAAAUUUGUCAUAAAUGUACCAGUUUAAGGUUUUUUAUGGUCAGUAGGGGUAAAUUUGUCACAGGUGUACCGGUUUCGGGUUUUUCAAGGUCUUCUUCUAGAAAAUUUCUCAUUUCUUUUAAUUUAUACAUUAGAACCAAUUGCAUUAUUUUCUUCUGGAUAAAAAGCUCAAUCUAUUUCCAUUACAAAAGGUCAUAAAAUUGUCUAACGACUAUUGCUUUAUGAAAUGUGGGGAAAAGGGCAAAAGUAUACAUGUGCCUCUUUGCAUUUGGCACAUAAAAUGUAUCAGGUUCCCUCUUUGACACUUUUUGAUCAUUCUAUUGUUUAAUUAUGUAUUUGUGAUGAAAAUGUAUCAUCAACUCUAUUAAUUUAUCAACAUGUGAUGCUGUCAUAUUUAGCUCUAAAAAUUCAAAUAAACAUGAGCAAUAUUUUUGCCCAAAUGUUGAAUAUGCUCCAUAGUAUUAAGUAUUUACGCACAAAUAUAAGUUAAGCAAUUUAUUAAAUACAUUAUAUGUAUAUAAAUAAAAAGGAGUAGUGAUAGAGGAAUGUGGAACCAUUUUAUAGUGGUGCAGUCCAAUUGGGUGCCCACUUAAUUUUUAGAGACUAAUCAACUAUACUUGAAGCCUCGAACAAAGAUUGGUUUACGAUGAAGCCAACAUUCAUUUAUAAGCACGGAACUCUCUUUGACAAAGAAAUGCUCUCAUAAGAUUGAUCUCUCAAGAAUUUGAUUGCAAAGUGUAUAAAUGAGGGAUAUUGCAAGUACUAGUAUUGUACAAAAAAAAAAAAACUGUUGGCAAAAAGAGUCAUCAAUCAUCCGAUUUUCUAGUAAGGAGUCAUUCGCACUUUCAUGAAAUAUACAGUAUGCUUCCAUCAAAUUUUGUGUGAAAAAAACAAUGUGUAUAUUUACCUAAUUAAAUGGAAUGUAAUACAUGAUUGAAAUGAUUAUAUGCAUCGGACCUUGGUGAAAUCAUACAUUCACGUACAUUUGAGUUCAGACAAAUGGAGUCCCCACCCAUUGAAUAAAACAACAUGUGAAUGGAAGUGGUGUCCAUUAAUUCAAGUUUUGUCGUCACUCUGCUACUUUUUUUGGUGCGUGAAGAGUGGAGCGUCGGUGUACUGUUAGCUUUCUCAAUCAGACAGCCUUUGUCUAGUCAUGAUGUGGGAGAAUAUAAUUUGGGACAACGUUACUCAAUUUGUUGGAGUUAUCUAUAAAUAAGACCAAGGACAAGAGCUAAACAGAGAAUGUUAAUGGAGAUGUCUAAUAGAGAAGAAUACAAAUAAAAUAAAGGAAAGAGAUGUAACCCAAAAAAAGAAGAAAAAUGAAACAAUAAAAAAGAAGAGAGAGGAGACUUAUAAUUCUUGAGGAUGGUUGUGAAUGUUUGGUUCAGGUGAAUAUGACGUGUAGGAGACUUUUACUGCAAAUACUUGCAUGGUUUGAUUUACAUUAAUUCAUUAUUGGAGCCUCAAGGAGAUAUGAAAUGGCAAAUGGUGAUGAUGAAUGCUUUGAAGUGUAAGGACCAUCACUGUCCAAGUGGCUUGGUUUCGCACUCGGAGGCAAGUUCUGCUCGAUUUUCAUGAAGAAUAUUUCUUUAAUGAAAUGCUAAAAUUAUAUUUAAGUCCUGCAAAAGAAAUUGACCGUGUCGAUUAUUUUGCAGCAAAAGAAGUGACGCCUGCACUGGGUCUCGUUUUCGGGAAUCUCGCCCAAAAAUAUUUGGUCGAAAUCACACCUUGUUGGCUUUCAAAGUUUUCUUGCUCGAAAUGGCGGGUAAAAGGGAUCAUGCGACUGUUACUUCCCCGGAAAAAUUUUAGUGUGAUUGUUGGACAACACUACUUACAUUUACCAAGCUCGUUGGACCGAAUCUUCCAGAUAUAUAUUUAGACCGUUAACCUCUCUACAUAUUUUUUCAGAAAAAAAAAAUUACAUAGACAAAAAAAGAAAAUAUUUAAAUCUAACGAAUAAAUGCAUUUGAAUAAACGCAGCUUACGUAAGAGCAGGCAAGAAAAACAUAAGUAGACAAAUUAAUGUGAAAAUGCAAAUGACUCCCCCAUACCAUUCUUAAACAAAAGAUGGUUCCUUAAAUAUAUCAAAACCAGUUAAUGGGAAAAAAAAGCUAGCAUGUGGUACGCAUUUUGAAGAUCUAUUUUAUAACUCAUCUUUUGAAGACAUAAUGAGUCUUUUUUGAAUAAGUACGAAAUUUGAAAACUUUCUUAGCGAUUAUACAAAUUCCUGAGAAGCUAAGAUCAAUGAUGUACAAGAUAUGUUGCCAUCCACAGAAGAUGAAAUAUUGGAAUGAAAUAUAUCGGAAUUGGAUUGAGAAUGAGACGGAUAUAUUUAAUUAGCAAUUUUCACAAUUUCCCAUUCUCUCCGGCAAAUUAUCUUAGUAUGCAUGAACUUGUCUUUGCGUGUGAGCUCUUCAGCGAAUUAUCUUCCUUUGUUUUUCACUUCUUACUUCAAAAUGACAAGCACUCCAGCAAUCUUUGAAGUCUUUAACAAUAUUUACGAAUGAAGUUGCCUCUACACUAAAGGAUUGUAGCUCACUCGAUAAGUACGCAUUACUUCACUCUAUGCUCAAAAUAACUCUUUUAAAAUGAUUACACUAGCACUCUCUUAGAGAAUACACUUGAAUUUCACUUUUCUUUUUUUAAUUACUAAAAAGUAAGUGUAAGAAGUAAGAAAAAGUUUUAGUUUUAGAGCGUUUUGAUCCCUCAACCGCCUUCAAGGGUUUGCAUGGUAACACUUCUGUUUCUCCCAAUUUCUGUUCUUUUGUUCCCCAUAACAAAAAAUAACAUAAAUCCGUUUGGUAAAAUUUUUGUUCCUAGGAACAGUUUUGGAACAGAAAAAAAAAAAAGGAGCUUCUUGUUCUCGAGAACAAUUUCUAGAAAUAAGUCAAUUUUCUUUUUUAUUUUUCUUGUGUUUCUCUCUCUUCCCAUAGCCACCUCCAAUCGCUCGGAGCCAUCGGCACCCGCGGCCAACUGCCGGUCGCCCACCAUCGAUCAUCGGCUGCCAAUCGUCAUCACCGACUGCCACCGCACAGCCCAUCGGCCGCUGCCGGCGAUCCGUGAGCAAAAUGAAUAAAUACAAAAAAUAAACUAUUUCGUACCAAACGCAUUUCUAUUCUUUUUCUAUUUCAAGAGUAAAUUUUUUUUGUUAUCACCAAAUACUUUAUUUUACUCAGAAAUUGUUCCCCGGAGUAGAAAUAAAAAAGAAACUGUUCUCCAGCCAAGAAGCGUUACCAUGUGCACCUCAAAUCUCACUUUGACACAUAGAUAGCCCUUGAAGCUUCCUCCACGCAUUAGAGACUUGAAUAGGUAAAUAGCUGUUGAAAAGGGUGAUUUUAGAUCAGCAUCACUAUGGAAAAUGGAAUAACGAGUUUCAAAGCGUUAUUCCAUUUGCAUAAAUAAAAACAUUUGCCUGUCUUCGCGUGAGCACCAAAUUUCGGACCAAACCUGUGGCCUCCGAAUCGACGACACUAGAAUUCUUCUCUCUCUCUCUCUCUCUCUCUCUCUCUCUCUCUCUCUCUCUUCCAAAGCACUUUGGCGAUGUCUCUGGAACUGUGGGAGACCCUGAAAGAAUCCAUCGUCGCCUUCAAGGGCCUGUGCCCGGCGACUUUCUUCACCGUCCUUGCCCUUGGGCUCAUCGUCUACUAUGUCGUGUCUGGCCUCUUUGGGUCGUUAUCCGACCGCCACCAGAGGCCGAGGAACUACCAGGAGCAGAUGCAGCCUCUUCCUCCUCCUGUUCAGCUUGUCGAGACCUACGAGGACGAGCUCAAGCAGUACGACGGCAGCGACCCCAAGAAGUCUCUCUUGAUGGCCAACAGGGGGCGGAUCUACGAUGUCUCUCAGCGCAGGUAUGCUGCGACCUUCUUCAUUGUAUCGGAUAAAAUUGUUAUGCUCAUUGCGCGAUUUUGAUUGUUUUCUGUGGCAGUCGUAGGUUAUGGAUCGGAUCGCCACUCUCUUCUUAGGCUAAUCCUACAUGAAUUUGUUGAUUCCAAUAUACUGUCUAUUCACGUUCGAAGUUAAUGCCGCCGUGAAAUUGGCAUAAGUGAAGCUUAAAAGAAAUGGUUGAGAAUUAUUCGUCCACACGCGGUCAAAUUAAUGAAACAAAAUACGCAUUUUUGUGGGAUCUAAAAGCCUGGUUAAUAAAAUGGGAGUAGAGUUUGCUUCAAUGAAUGUCGCUUGACGACUGGCUCAGACGUUACUCAAUUUGCUGAAGUUAUCUGUAAAUAAGACCAAGAAAAAUUGCUAAACAAGAAUGUUGAUGAAGAUACCGGAUAGAGAAGAAUACGUAUAAAAGAAAGGAAAGAGAUGUAACAACCCCGCCCCCCCCCCCCCCCCCCCCCCCCCCCCCCACCCAAGCUUUUAAGGUACAAUGUUGCGCCAUAAGCCAUCACAUAUAAACGACAGUUGUUAUAUCGAGAUGAGAAGAUUUCGGCCGAGAUCCAUCGUUCCAUCCGCUGGAAAAUGGAAGUGAAAUUUACAAUUAUUUAAACACUAGCAAAUGGACGUUCACCGCAGUAAAAGUCACAUAUAGUGAAAUAUUACGACGUCAGUUCUUGGUUAUGACCGUGUGAAAAGUCAUAGCCCACAUUCAUAUUGUCUCUAAUUUUACUUCCUUGUCUAAUGAUGGAACGACUCCCAUGCUUUAGCAGUUGAAGUUUCUAUUUGCAACCUAGACUUUAAAUUUUAUGUCCUCACUAAUUUUGGAGCUCGGACCUGAUUAUUAUUAUUUUUUUAAAGUCAUAACUUCCAACAUGUAUCCGAAUAUGCAUUUUUUGUUUAAUUUAAUAUAUUUGUUGGGAAUAAGUAAUAUAUGGCCUAUCUUGUAGUUAGACUUCAAGACACGGGGUAUAAGGGUUUUAUUAUACAUAGUUGGGGUGUAAAGUUCAGUCCAAAUUAAAAAUCCAAGUUGCCUUUGCAAUCAUCUCUAAAGUGUAACACAUAGUUCAAUACCAUUCAUGGACCACUUUCACUUCGCAUUCAACAAGCCACCACAGAUCUCAUAGCACCUUUUUCAUUUUAUAAUAACAAGAAAUUAAUUGAUUAGUAUCCUAGUAUCCGCUCAACUAAUCUAGAAGUGCAUCAAUCGUCACUCACAAAUUUACCAUAUACCACAGUGAAGUAUCUUUUUAAUGUGAUCAAACUUCAUCAUCCAUAUAAGAAAAAGAAAAAUGAAGGACUGAAAAGAAUAGAAACCAUUUCCCUUGAAGCCAAAUAAAUCAACCAGAAAAUUGGCCUUUAAUUAGGACAGUAUGAUACUAUGGUCAUAGAAAUUUACCCUAUGUUCAAUAGUCAAAUUUAUUAAAAAUUCAAUUUUGCUAUAAAUUCAACAUUAACCAAAGGUAUGUGGCGAAGACACAUCUAACUAAUGUGAUAAAUGUGAUCUUCCAUGAAGAAAAGUUUAAUGUGCAUAUUGUCAACACUUCAUGUGCGUGAAGCGCACUCCUAUGCUAAAGUGUCGGCUCAUCCUUGAGCACUUUUAUUAAAAUAUUCUUUGUUGACCCACGUCAAAAGGAGGUCAUGCACCCGGGAGUCAACAUAUAAGGAGAAGAUUAAAUGGCGAACAAACUACCACUCGCAAACUACCAAAUCUUAGGCAACUUAUUGCUUCUUGUUAACCAUUUUUGUUUCCUGAUUCUAAUGGCUUCUUCUCCUUCUUCCAAGCAUAGAAGGAGCUAUGAUGUCUUUCUGAGUUUUAGAGGCAUAGACGUCCGCAACCAUUUCCUUGGUCAUCUCUACACAGCUCUUGUUCAAAGUGGAAUAAACACUUACAUGGACAGUGAAGAUCUAAAGAAGGGAGAGCAAAUAUCACCCGCACUCAUGGAAGCAGUCGAGGAAUCGCAAAUUGCGAUCAUUGUUUUCUCCAAGGACUAUACCUCAUCACCAUGGUGUUUGGAGGAGGUGGCGAAAAUCAUGGAGUGCAAGGAGCAAAGAGGCCUCAUGGUCUUUCCGGUGUUUUACAAAGUGGAACCUAGAGAAGUGAGAGGGCAGAGACAAGGUUAUGCAGAAACUAUGGCCAAACAUGAGGUUAAGUUUGGGGAGGAUUUAGAGAAAGUAAAGCGAUGGAAGAAAGCUCUUCUUGAUGCUGGGAGCUUGUCUGGAUGGCAUUUUAUGGACAGGUACGUGAAAACACUUCUACUGCUUCAAAUAGUGUAAUUCUUUUGAUAUUUGAUCUUCUUUAAGGUUUGGGAUCCUCGGAAGUUCGGCGUAAUCUAUCCUGGCUCUCUCUCUAAUUUGCCUCGUCUCUCUCUCUCUCUCUCUCGCAUUAGUCACAGCACAGAAAACACUUGCACAGAACACGAAACAGAGUACCAUGGACGAGCCGUUAGUCCUGUCCGACCCUCUGCCGAUUCUCGACACGCCGCCGUCCGAUUGCUCACGUCUCAACGCCACCCCAGCCGCAUCACCUCAGCUCGUCUCUGUGUCUCUGUGUCUAGGGGCUUUAAGGCUACGAAUCUAGGCUCGUGACCCCGGAUCCGGGGCUUCAAGCCCGGAUCAGCGGUCGCUAGCCUCGGGCAGUGGUCGCCUGGGACUCUCCUAUCUUCCGUGACAGAGGGACAAGAACACGGAAAGAGGGCGCACCAACUGCGCUAGGACAGGCGAGGGUGAUGGGUACAUCACGGUGGCAGGGACAUGGCAGCGGGGGGGAACAGAUGAGGGCGGCCACGGGGCAGUGGCAAAUGCGGAGGGGAGGGGAGAGAGAGGGGUGGGGGAAAUUUGGGUUUGAGCUUUGAGCCUAGGCAUUUUCUUAUUUUUUAAGUAAAAUUUAACAAAACAAAAUUCUAGAAAAUAUAUUCAGAAGACUUGAAACUUUGAAUUCACAAAUUGAGGAGAAAACAAAUGGAGAUAUUAAUUAGAAGAAAAGUUGCACAAUAUUCAAAUAUAAUAAGUUCAUUCGAUAUCGAAAAUUGUCAUAAUACAUCAAGACCACAUGUACUAAUCGAUAUCCUAUGUCUACUAUAUAUAGUUUAAGCCGGGUUUAAGAGAAAGUUUCCUUAUAUGCCCGCCCACGUGGGAGGUAACAUUGCUAUGUUGGUUGUGCCAUAUGACCCAUAUUUGGCCAAUUUUCAUUUUAGUGAUUCGUCCUUUAUCUUGAAAUGCAUUUUUAACAAAUAUAUGUUUGUUCACAAAAAACCAUGAUAGUAAAGUUAUCAACUUAAUUUGAAACUUUAAAUCAUAAUAAUUUGAAAUUAAAAAAAAUAACAUAAAAUAAAAAUAUCAUGAAAUAAACCUUUUAACUAGCAUAUAUUAUUAAAUGUAAUUCAUGACCAAACAAAUAUCCAUUUGAUUUAAAGAAUGAGAAUUAUAAGUCAUUAAAUUAAUGACACAAAUAAUGCAAGUUAUUGCCAUUAUAAACCAUGGUAUCUAUAUAUAAUUACAUAAAUAAUACGUCAAAACCAUUGAUAAGCUACUCCUAAUUGAAAAUAUAGAUCAUUCAUAACAUGAUCUAACUUCAUAUGCUAUAUUAGCUUACACUUGGCAAUCUGGAUUAGGCUAUCACUCAUGAAAGACUCAUGCGAUUGGCACCCUCAUGCUUUUACCAAUUUUAAGGAUUCUGCAGUUCUAGAUGACGGACUAUGUCCUCUUAGGAAAAAGAUUAACUUAAAAAUCUAUAGAAGUAUGUUUUCAUGGACUUCGGCUUUCCAAUUCGGGCAGGAAGUUAGUAGACGAAGCUUGCGCUCUCGUGUUCCACCCCCCUUGCCGUUAGUUGGAGGGUCUUUUGUACUGCUGGCAUGCCUCUGCUUCUCGCUGAGGUUUUGAGCCAUCACUCACGCGGACCCAGACCAAAAUCACUUAGGGCGCGAAUAAUAACCAUUUUUGCUAGAAAUUGAUUUAUGAAAGAGAAAUAGAUUUUUCUAUUUCUAUUUCUAGAUGAGUUUUUAAGCAAAAAUACUGGUUUGAUAACAACACAAAAUUUAUACUCUAAAAAUAGAAAUUUGUUUGAUAACGAUAUAAAAUUUCUUCCUUUCGGACGGCUGCAAAUUUUUUUUUACCUUUCGGACGGUGGGCCAGUGGACGGCAGCAACGGCCGAUGACCGGUGAAUGGCAAAUGGCGGACGGCCAGUGGACGGCGGAUGGCAACCGGUGGCCGGCGGCGGACGGCGAACGGUGGUGACCGGCGGACGGCGGACGGUGAUGGUUGACGAUCGGCAAACAGUGGUCGGCGGCGAUGGAUGGACGAUCGAUUCAUAGCAGGAACAAACGAUAAGAAGAAUUUUUAUUUCUCAUUUUUGUUCCAAAAAUAGAAAAUAGAAAAUUUUUACUUCUGAUUUUUAUUCCAAACCUAUUUCUGGAACAAAAAUUUAUUUAAAAAAAAUGAAUUAAUUUUAUUAAAUGGAAUUCUAUUCCAGAAACAAGUCUGGAAUAGAAAAAUUAUUUAUGGAAUAGAAAUUGUAAUUUGUUAUGCACUUCUUAGAGAGUAAGAAUUGUAGAGAGCUUUCCCUACUGAUUUCGCCUCCCCUUUCAACUGAAGAGGGAUCAGCUAUAUACAUACAAAAGCUGUUGCCUGUGGGAUGUUGCCAGCUCACUUCAACAUUUACAAGCGGACAAGAACAAAAAUGAGCUGCCUACGCCUGUACAUAUAAGACAUUAUACCUCGUCUAACCCAUGAAGAUUGUCCUUUCUAAUCCAUGCAUUUUCUCUUCUUCUGAGAAAAUUAGUUUUUCACGUCUUGUCCUGCUGAGUGCUGACGUAGUAAUCACUCCAUCUGAAAGCUGGCCCUGGGACUGGGCAUGAUUAUCUCGUUCCCUUUCCUCUUAAAGUCGUUGAUCUUGGGUUUGGGAGAUCUUCCAGACUUCAAAAAAAUCAGCCCGGAAACAUAAGCUGUGUUCUCUAAGCCAGAAACUUAGCGGGCAGAUCGAUUACUUUCUCUCAUUUUCUCUCUUGGACUUCUUUUUAUUUAAAGCUCAACCCUUGAGAAUGAUGAAAAUUCGUCCAUCACCACGCGGAUAAUACUUUUGUUGGUUGCGUAUUGCAUGCUCUAGGACAGCAUUAAAGAAUUCGGUUUCAGUGGCUUUAGUAAUUGAUGUAAAGCACACUUUGUCAUUAUUUUUUAUAUGCUGAAUCACAUCUUUUCUUUCCAACCAAAAAAAAUAAUCGGAUCUUUCUUCUCUCUCUCUUUUUUUUUUUAUUUGAUGAAACUUGAUCAUAUCUAAACUACCAAAUUAAUGUAUCAAGUACUUUUCUUGAUUUUGUCAGAGAUGAAGCAACGCUUAUAAAGGAAAUUGUGAAGGAGAUCGCUAAGCAGCUGAAACCCUCACCCUUACAUGUUGCGAAGCAUCCAGUUGGAAUUCAUCGCCAAGUGGAAGAGCUGGAACCAAUGUUAAAUCUUGAGUCUGGUGAGGUUCUCAUGAUAGGAUUAUGGGGACAAGGAGGCAUAGGGAAGACAACAAUAGCAAAAGCUCUUUACAAUGCUAACUUUAGACAAUUUGAAGGUGCAUGUUUCUUGGCAAAUGUUCGAGAAGCUUCAAAAGAUUCCAAGGAUUUGCGUCCUUUGCAAAAAAAAUUGUUGGAGGUAUUAUUGGGAAAAGAAUUAUCAGUGAUUAGUGUUGAUGAAGGUAUUAGGUUAAUUCAAGACAGACUUUGCAGCAAAAAAGUUCUCCUUAUUCUCGAUGAUGUUGAUGAUGUAAAACAGUUAAAUGCUUUAGCCGGAGAAUGUGAUUGGUUUGGUAGAGGAAGUAGAAUCAUCAUUACUACUAGAGAUAAUCAUUUGCUAACUUCCCACAGGAUAGAUAAAGAUCAUAUCUAUGCAGUUGAGCCUCUAAACAAUUGUGAAGCUCUUGAACUUUUUAAUAAGCAUGCUUUUCUGAGAGACAACAAAACAAUAAUAAGAAGGGAUCUUGUAUUUGGUGCUUUGAAUUAUGCUAAUGGACUUCCUUUAGCACUUGAGAUGUUGGGCUCUUUCUUAUUUGGUAGAGAUGAACCAGAGUGGGAAAGUGCAUUAAAAAAACUUGCCAAAAGUCCUCACAAAACCAUCAAUGAUGUUCUUAGGCUAAGUUAUGAUGGACUAGAUGACGAAGAAAAGGAGAUCUUCCUUGAUAUUGCAUGUUUCUUCAAGGGGGAAUAUAAACAGGACAUUGUGAAGGUUCUUGACUGUUGUGACUUUUCCACAACUAUUGGAGUAAACAUUCUUGUAGAGAAGUCUUUGAUAUAUGAAGAGGAGGGGAACCUACAAAUGCAUGACUUAAUUCAGUUGAUGGGCAUGGAUAUUGUUAAACAAGAAUGUCGUGAUGAUCCCGGAAGACGUAGUAGGUUAUGGCUUUAUGAUGAUGUUCAUGAUGUUCUGUCAAAGGAUAUGGUAAGAUUUGUUGGUUUAGAUACUGAUUUUACUCUUUUAUCCUAUGAUUUUUAAAAAAAAUUAAUUGCAAUGCAAUUUUUAUAAAUGCAGGGGACGAAUGCAAUAAAAGCCAUAGUUUUGCGUUUACCCUGGACAAAAUCAUUAUACAUAGGCCCAAGUGCUUUUAGAAACAUGACAGGGUUGAGGGUACUCAUCAUGAUUAAUGUGCACAACUCUUUCCAAGGUCCUAUGUGUCUUCCUAAUGAAUUGAGAUAUUUUGAAUGGCCUCAAUGUCCUCCUUGGAUUCCAGAAUUUUCCUCAGGUACAAAGAAGUUAGUUGGACUUGAUCUGAGUCGAAGCAACAUCCAAGAUCAAGUCCAACUAACGAAAUUUAAGGUGAGUAUUUAAAUGCAUAGUCUUUAUUUCCUUAUAUUUUAUAUAUCCAUUUUUAUAUGCAUAUGAAUAUGAAUAUGCAAAUGUAUUAUUGAAAACUUUGAAUGCAACAAUUAAUAACUCUGACGGUGCUUGUUAAUGUGCUUAAGAAACAUCUACAUCUAUUAAAUUGUACACAUUUGAUUAAAGCCUUAUACACAGGAUCUCGAUCUACUCCAUGAACCAACAUAAGUGGAAUCUUUCUGUUAUAGGGGAGUAUUAAACACUUCCCUUAUGCAAAUCUUGAUUUUGCUUCGAACCAAAAUUUUCAAGAAAAAAAAGUCCAAACUAUAUUUUCAAGAUAUUGAGUAUUGAAAAUUAUAAGAACAAUGAACUUAAUGAAUCGGUAACUUUUGAGUACCGAAAAUUGGGGCAAAAAGUAAUUUGUGAUAUAAUUUAAAGAAUGAAUGAUGAUUGUGCUUGAAUUUUCAAUAUACAUCAAGGAAGGAUUUAAUUUUAUGUUUUUGAAAGGAUAGAUUUUGAAAAUGUUAUUAAAGGUUCUACCCCAUACAGUAGAGACGAGCUGACUACGCUCUUUUGGAAAUUGCGCUUGUAAGAGAGAGAUUUUUCUUGCAUAUUUGCUUGACCAUUGAAGUGGGUGCACGCUAAAUGCUUUCGACUGAACCUCCCAUUGUCUCCUCUCCUAUUGCAUGGAGCGGAUAAUGAAAAGAAACAUAGAAAAUGUGUAGUAAGGGAUCUGUAUCGGAAGCUAGUCUUUACAUAGGUAGGUACAAGCUUGAUAAUUCUAUAACAGUGGCCGAAAAGUCCUGUCUUUUUUCGGUCGGACUAACCUAAUCAGCCAUUGCUAACUAAUAUUUCUCAAGGCCAACCUCAUGAAGCUCCUGGUCUUCAUGAUACAAAGAUAGAUUAAAUUACAUACUCUGCGCAAAGCGCACUUUUGUAACCGUCUGAUUUCCUUAGCUCUUUCUUCAGAAUAUCCACUAAAUUGGCACUUAGUGGGCAGUGGCGUAAGAUCCAAAGAACUUCAAAGAUGUUUUCGGUACACAACUUCAAAUUGCUAUUUUCCAGUAGUUUGACUCACCGAAUUAUCAUUAGCAAAUUCACCUUGAAACAAUAACAACUCUCAUUGUUUAAAAUGUUUUCCAAUAAAACUACUUAAUAAAUUGCCCAAAAUUCUAUUAACAACCUCAGCUUGUCUAUCGGUUUGAGGAUGGCUAGCAGAAUUGAACUAAGGUGGAGUCCCCUCUUUUCACCAUAAGAAAUGCCAAAAGUGACAUACAAAUUUCACAUCACUAUUGGAAGGGGGAUGUUUUUGGAAUAUUAUCUAGGCGCACAAUUCACUAAUAUGAAACUCAAUAACAUGUAAACCAUCGAGGCUCCAUGACGAUCAUUUUCAAAUUUUUUCCCAUUUAAAAACUGUCCGGUAAUCCCCUUCCAACUAAUAGCAACAUUUCCAUUCACAAUGCGCAUGUGCGAGGGAAAGUGUUGAUUAGGUUUGUCUCAAUUUAUGAAGUUUAAUUGACAUUCUUGACUUGCCCUAUAUAAACACUUACCACCUCUAUCUUUUGAGAGAUACACCUUCAAAUACAAUUUCAGAUAUGACAUGUCAAAUCUCAUUCCUUAGACUCCCUUUCAUUUAAUAUUAUUUUCUUCUUUGGAAUGAUGUGCUAUAAUUUUAGAAAAUUCAUUGAAAAUUUGUUGUAUCAAAAAUAUCCAAAUCAUUAUGGAAUGACAACUCAUUGAUAAAGGCGUCUCAAGAAUAAAGUAGUUAAAGCUUAAUCAAAAGAAGGCGCAAAAAGGCUUACCAUGUUGGACAUGCACCAUAGAGGUUUAAUAAAUCACACAUGAAAUCCACCGAUUGAGAUGUCAAAGUCUAUCGAUGCAUCUACAUUUUUUUUAUGUAUACAAAUGCAAGGUAUAUAUGUGGUGGUUGUGUUUAUUAUGAUAUAGUAAACUUUGAGCUCUUACACUACAACAACAUAUAUCUAGCUCAAAGCAAAAAACUAUGCAAGACGGUUCGGACUCUAUUAUUUUUCAUAUUUUAGUUAUGUUUAUGACCAAUUAGGCAUACACAAUAUGUCUUCUUUUUUAAAAAACGAUCAACCAAUUUCCACUUCUUAAUAAGUGAUGAAUAGAAGAGAUUCCUGACCUUUCACUGCCUUUGUGGGAUUUGUAGGCAGGUGGUUGUGAUCUCUACAUAAGAUUCCAAAUGUAACUUAAAUGCAUGUGAUGAAUCAGUUGGCAAAGGAAUGAUUUUGGCUCAUGUGCUCCCACUUGAGGUUACACAAUCUUUCUCUCUAAAUCACAAGUAUUGUUUCUGAGUGUAUACGUAAUGGAAGUGGCCACGCCAUUCUAGCGCAUAGUGAAAUUACGAGCGUUGGUGAAUUUACAAGGAUUACUUACUGGACUCAUAUUCAUAAAGUGAGAGGGUGUGCUCUAUGUACACCAUAUGAUCUAGUGAAUUUUGAUAACAUAUGGCUUGGAUUAUGAUCAAGUGAUUUUUAUUUCAAAAUCAUAGCCAAAUUUUGAAAUGAAUGUGUAUCUCAUUUUUUUCUUUGAUCAUUUUGGAAUGUCUAUGCAAGUUGGUUUAUUGUUCUUGCAGGACUUUGAAAAAUUGAAGUUCAUUAGCUUUGGUAAAUGCUGGUCACUAGUUUAUAUGCCGGAUGUCUCUUGUAUUCCAAAUCUCGAGGAAUUGAAUCUCUCUAGGUGCAAAAACUUGAAGCAUGUCCACAAUUCAGUUGCAAAUCACUGUAAGUUACGGAAGUUGAAUUUAGCAUAUUGCUUUAAAUUGCAAAGAUUCCCUGAUAUUCUGAAUGAGAAUGAAAGCUUGCGAGAAGUUCUUCUAGGGUGGACUUCAAUUGAAGAACUUCCUACAUCAAUAGGAAAUCUUGUCUCUCUCGAGGACAUUAGUUUAUUUUAUUGCAAGAAAUUGGUAAUCCUUCCGUCUAGCAUUUACAAGUUGCAAAAUCUUAAAGUCCUGCAACUUUGUGGUUGCUCACAACUACAAGAGAUCCCCAAGAUUCCAAGGAAAUUGAGAAGACUAAAGGCAAAUAAUUGCAAAUCUCUAACUAGAAUUCUCUCCAACAUAUGUGACACUGGGGACUUUGACUUGGAAGAAUUGGAGGCUUCGAAUUGCCAACAACUACAAGAGAUCCCCAAGAUUCCGAGGAAAUUGAGAAGAUUAAAGGCAAAUAAUUGCAAAUCUCUAGCUAGAAUUCCCUCCAACAUAUGUGACAUUGGGGACGUUGACUUAUAUUCAAGUUGGGAUCAGGAGCUAGUACGUAAUGGGUUCCCCGUGAAUGAUUUGUUCAUGCCUGAGGUUACUCUCUCUCUCUCUCUCUCUCUCUCUCUCUCCCUCCCUCCCUCCCUCCCUCCCUCCUUCUCGAUUAAUCGCAUUAAUAUCGAGUAGGGUACAUUGUGGCUUGCAUUGGGUGUUCGUGCAUUGCAAAAGGCUAAAACUGUCAGAAUGGUGAGCUAAUUGAAAAAAAGAAAAAGAAAAAGAAAGAGCACAAACAUAUAGAAAGUGAUUGUGUUGACAUAUAAUGGAGGUUGCUGUAAGACAAUGCAAAAGAUAUUCUCUUUAUUUAUAGAACUCUAGUUCGCUGUUAAAUUAUAAGGACCGCCCAAUGAAAAACUUCAAUAAUACAUGUUCAUCCGGUUACAAAAUAUUCAACAAUACAUGUCAUGUUUCCACCAAUUAAGUACAAAAAAAUCUUUGUAUUGCUAUUGCUAACUAUAUAUAAAACUCUAGGAUUGCCACUUAACUCAUUCAUACUUCUUUUAGGUGCCAAUUUUUUUUUUUUAUAAAAAAGAACUAUCUAACAGUCUACAUCUAUGACAGAAUUUUCAUUGCCAACCAAAUCAUCGAGUUGUUCUACCUGGAGGAGAGAUGCCAAAGUGGUUCCUGCCCAAUAAAGAGGGUUGUAUAUCUUUCGUGGCUUCAAAGGACUUAUAUGAAAAGAUCCUAGGAGUAGCUUUUUGUGUUGUAUAUCAACAAGAAGCAAAGUUGUCUGGGAGUACUGAAUUUGAGGUUAUCGUAUCUGUUAAUUGCAAAGCCGCAAUACAUAGCAGGUACUUCAAGUUCUCUGAUUUGGAUCAUGUGUGGCUGGAGUAUAUGGAAUUAAAGGAUCUUUGGACAGUAGACCAUUUUGGUCCAAAUGGCCUGACUCAUUUCCGCAUUAGCAUUAGAGUAUGCAAUUAUCACGAACUACUUGUGAAGAAGUGUGGAUUCCGACUAAUAUGCAAGCCACUAGAGAAUGAUUUAGAGGUUUUGCUUCAAGGCAAUCAAUUGCUAGAUCCAGCUUUAUUUUACGAGGUUUCGCAUGAAGAUAAUCCAAUGAGCACAAAGGAAAAAGGAUUGAACAUAGUUGAUUCGUCAAUCGAGGUAUCUCUCUCUCUCUCUCCCCCCCCCCCUCCCACCCCUCUCCCAAUGUGUGCGUGUGAAUAUCCGUGUGUAUAUGCAUGUGUUGAUACAGUGUACAUUGGGUGUAUGUAAUGCAAAAUUGUAAAUUCUAGACAAACAAACAAAUUUAAUAUAAAGCGAUUCUGCACAAGUAUAAAGCUUAACAAAAUCUCAACAUCAUGCAAUGAUGAAAACCCGAUGUUCGUAAUUCCUGUAUUGAAAAAUAUGGUUGAAAUCUUAGAAAAUCUAACGAACAAAAGGACACAUGGUUCUUGAUGUUAUGGUUGAUCAUAACAACUGACACCAAUAAUUGUUCUAGAUCAACUCUAUGGACUAAGAUAAAAUUGCACAACUAUAAUAAUUCAAUAAUUCGACAUAAGACCUUUUUCACUCUUAGGUGUUUGUUGCUAUUAUAAUAGGAGACCGUCGUAUUACAUGCCUGGCUAGCCACAUGCGGAUUACUUGGAUAGUGUGAUUUAAUUUUAUUAAUAGAGAGUAUUGCAUUUGAGAUUCUCCUUUUAUAUAAAGUUAGAGCAAACAUAAAAGGGGUAAGUGGUCUGAUGAGGCUAGUUUGUGGAGAGGGCAAACAUUAGAUUUUCCUUUCCAAUUUUCUGUUAGUUUGAGUGCAAGUAGAAUUUUUUUUUUAAUUUAUUUUAAUUAUGUUAAAUUUGUUGCACAUAAGUAGGAGUUCAAUUAGGACACUUUGUACAGAAGAAUCAGUGAUCUCCAAAGUGAACUCGUAACAAUGAACAUUAGACAAUGGGGUCUGACGAGGACGAUUACUUUCUUGGAUAUGCUGUUCUAUUUUCCAUCAAUUUUUCACUUCCUAUAUAUUACACUUGUAUUGCAUGAGCUGCGUUUAGGGUGAUUCAAUCUAACAUUAGGGGUGGGUAGCACUUGCAAGGGAAUGAUUUCCAACAUAAGCAACGAUCAAUAUGUCUAAUUAUUAUAGAACUCUUGCUUUAGUUAAAUUACUAGUAAUAUGCACAAAUCAAACUCUUUUUCUUGAACUAAUUACAAACUUGGAUACUUCUAAUAAUUUACACAUAUAACAGAGGCAUCGCUAUUCUAGCCUUUGGUGUCAUUAUGGGAAUGUUAGCCCCGGAAGAGAGAUGCCAAAUGGGUUCGUCCGUGUUGAAGGCAGUACUAUAUCUUUCAAGGCUUCGCAAGACUUGUACAACAACUUCGUAGGAUUUUUUCUCUGUGUUGUCUUUGAUGUAGAAGAUGGAGAAAAGGAAGUAUCUUUCAACAUCGUACCACGUGUCAACGGCCAAAAGCGGAAUGAGGUAUCGGGAACUCUCGGUUCAUUUGAUACGGAUCAUGUGUGGUUUCAAUUUUUCAGAACAAAUGCACUGUGGGGAUUAUUGGAGGGAGCAGUCGACUUUGGUCAAUUUGACGAGAGUUAUCCGAUAUUUAGCCUUAAUAUUAGAGUAACGGGUGCAACCGUUAAAAAGUUGGGAUAUGUGUUGCAAUCCAAUCCUCUAGAGGAUGCUUUAAAGGUUGAGAUUGAAAAGAAUUGCUCCAUGAAUCCGGCUUCACUCUUUGAGCAUAGGGAUGAUCCACAAUAUGCGUGGAGAAGAUGGCAGAUGGAAGGAUUUGUCCCGGAUUUUUCACUCCUUGAGGUCAUGCCUGAGGUUAGACUCUCUCUCUCUCUCUCUCUCUCUCUCUCUCUCUCUAUGGCAUUGAUAUGGAGUAGGGUACAUUAUGGCUUGCAUUAGGUGUUUGUUCAUUGCAAAAGGCUAAAAAUCCCGGAAUGGUGAGCUAAUUAAAAAAAAGAAAAAGGAAACAUAUAAAAAGUGAUUGUGCAGACAUACAGUGGAGGUUGAUGUAAGACAAUGCAAAGGAUAUUCUCUUUAUUUAUAGAACUCUAGUUUGCUGUUAAAUUACAAGGACCUCCCAAUAAAAAACUUCAAUAACACAUGUUCAUCCGGUUACAAAAUAUUCAACAAUACAUGUCAUGUUUCCACCAAUUAAGUACCAAAAAAAAAAAACUUUGUAUUUCUAUUGCUAACUAUAUAUAAUACUCUAGGAUUGCCACUUAACUCAUUCAUACUCCUCCUUCUAGGUGCCAAUUUCAAAAAAACUAUCUAACAGUCUACAUCUAUGACAGGAAUUUCAUUGCCACCCAAAUCAUCGAGUUUCUCUACCUAAAGGAGAGAUGCCAAAGUGGUUGCUGCCCAAUAAAGAGGGUUAUAUAUCUUUUGUGGCUUCAAAGGACUUAUAUGAAAAGAUCCUAGGAGUAGCUUUUUGUGUUGUAUUUCAAGUGUUGCAUAGGUCACGUGAGAGUACUGCAUUCGAGGUUAUAGGAUCUGUUAAUUGCAAAGCCGCAAUACACAGAAGGCAUUUGAAAUUCUUUGAUUUGGAUAAUGUGUGGCUGGAGUAUAUGGAAUUGAAGAAUUUGUGGACAGUAGACCAUUUUGGUCCAAAUGACCAGACUCAUUUUCGCAUUAGCAUUAGAGUAUGCAAUUAUCACGAACUACUUGUGAAGAAGUGUGGAUUUCGACUAAUAUGCAAGCCACUAGAGAAUGGCUCAAAGGUUUUGCUUCAAGACGAUCAGUUGCUAGAUCCAGCUUUAUUGUACGAGGUUUCGCAUGAAGAUAAUCCAAUGAGCACAAAGGAAAAAGGAUUCAACAUGGUUGAUUCAUCAAUCGAGGUAUCUCUCUCUCUCUCUCUCUCCCCCACCCCCUUCUCCCAAUGUGUGUGUGUGUGUGUGUGUAUGCAUGUGUUGAUAUGGUGCACAUUGGGUGCAUGUAAUGCAAAACUAUAAAUUCUAGACAAACAAACUAAUUUAAUAUAAAGUGAUUAUGCACGUGUAUAAAGCUUAACAAAAUCUCAACUUAAUACAAUGAUGAAGACCCGAUGUUCAUAAUUCCUGCAUUGAAAAAUAUGGUCGAAAUCUUAGAAAAUCUAACAAACAAAUGAACACGUGGUUCUUGAUAAAAUGGUUGAUCAUAACAACUAACACCAAUAAUAGUACUAGAUCAACUCUACGGACUAAGAUAAAACUGCACAACUAUAAUAAUUCAACAAUUCGACAUGAGACCUUUUUCACUCUUAGGUGUUUGUUGCUAUUAUGAUAGGGGACCGUCGUAUUACAUGCCUGGCUAGCCACAUGCAAAUUACUUGGACAGUGUGAUUUAAUUUUAUUAAUAGAGAGUAUUGCAUUUGAGAUUCUCCUUUUAUAUAAAGUUAGAGCAGACAUAAAAGGGGUAAGUGGUUGGAUGAGGCUGGUCUGUGGAGAGGGCAUGCAUUAGAUUUUCCUUUUCAAUUUUUUGGUAGUUUAAGUGCAAGUAGAAGUUUUUUUUUUUNNNNNNNNNNNNNNNNNNNNNNNNNNNNNNNNNNNNNNNNNNNNNNNNNNNNNNNNNNNNNNNNNNNNNNNNNNNNNNNNNNNNNNNNNNNNNNNNNNNNNNNNNNNNNNNNNNNNNNNNNNNNNNNNNNNNNNNNNNNNNNNNNNNNNNNNNNNNNNNNNNNNNNNNNNNNNNNNNNNNNNNNNNNNNNNNNNNNNNNNNNNNNNNNNNNNNNNNNNNNNNNNNNNNNNNNNNNNNNNNNNNNNNNNNNNNNNNNNNNNNNNNNNNNNNNNNNNNNNNNNNNNNNNNNNNNNNNNNNNNNNNNNNNNNNNNNNNNNNNNNNNNNNNNNNNNNNNNNNNNNNNNNNNNNNNNNNNNNNNNNNNNNNNNNNNNNNNNNNNNNNNNNNNNNNNNNNNNNNNNNNNNNNNNNNNNNNNNNNNNNNNNNNNNNNNNNNNNNNNNNNNNNNNNNNNNNNNNNNNNNNNNNNNNNNNNNNNNNNNNNNNACAUUAGGGGUGGGUAGCACUUGCUGGGGAAAUGAUUUUCAACAUAAGCAACAAUCAAUAUGUCUAAAUUAUUAUAGAACUCUUGCCUUUAGUUGAAUUACUAGUAAUACGCACAAAUCAAACUCUUUUCUUGAACUAAUUACAAACUUGGAUACUUCUAAUAAUUUACACAUAUAACAGAGGCAUCGCUAUUCUAGCCUUUGGUGUCAUUAUGGGAAUGUUAGCCCCGGAAGAGAGAUGCCAAAUGGGUUCGUCCGUGUUGAAGGCAGUACUAUAUCUUUCAAGGCUUCGCAAGACUUGUACAACAACUUCGUAGGAUUUUUUCUCUGUGUUGUCUUUGAUGUAGAGGAAGGAGAAAAGGAAGUAUCUUUCGACAUCGUACCACGUGUGAACGGCCAAAAGCGGAAUGAGGUAUCGGGAACUCUCGGUUCAUUUGAUACGGAUCACGUGUGGUUUCAAUUUUUCAGAACAAAUGCACUGUGGGGAUUAUUGGAGGGAGCAGUCGACUUUGGUCAAUUUGACGAGAGUUAUCCGAUAUUUAGCCUUAAUAUUAGAGUAAUGGGUGCAACCGUUAAAAGGUUGGGAUAUGUGUUGCAAUCCAAUCCUCUAGAGGAUGCUUUGAAGGUUGAGAUUGAAAAGAAUUGCUCCAUGAAUCCGGCUUCACUCUUUGAGCAUAGGGAUGAUCCACAAUAUGCGUGGAGAAGAUGGCAGAUGGAAGGAUUUGUCCCGGAUUUUUCACUCCUUGAGGUCAUGCCUGAGGUUAGACUCUCUCUCUCUCUCUCUCUCUCUCUCUCUCUCUCUCUCUCUCUCGCAUUGAUAUGGAGUAGGGUACAUUAUGGCUUGCAUUAGGUGUUUGUUCAUUGCAAAAGGCUAAAAAUCCCGGAAUGGUGGGCUAAUUAAAAAAAAGAAAAAUGAAACAUAUAAAAAGUGAUUGUGCAUACAUAUAGUGGAGGUUGAUGUAAUACAAGCAAAUGAUAUUCUCUUUAUUUAUAGAACUAUAGUUCGCUGUUAAAUUACAAGGACCGUCCAAUGAAAAACUUCAAUAACACAUGUUCAUCUGGUUACAAAAUAUUCAACAAUACAUGUCAUGUUUCCACCAAUUAAGUACAAAAAAAGAAAAAUCUUUGUAUUUCUAUUGCUAACUAUAUAUAAAACUCUAGGAUUGCCACUUAACUCAUUCAUACUCCUCCUUCUAGGUGCCAAUUUCAAAAAAACUAUCUAACAGUCUACAUCUAUGACAGGAAUUUCAUUGCCGACCAAAUCAUCGAGUUUUUCUACCUAGUGGAGAGAUGCCAAAGUGGUUGCUGCCCAAUAAAGAGGGUUAUAUAUCUUUCGUGGCUUCAAAGGACUUAUAUGAAAAGAUCCUAGGAGUAGCUUUUUGUGUUGUAUUUCAAGUGUUGCAUAGGUCAUGUGAGAGUACUGCAUUCGAGGUUAUAGGAUCUGUUAAUUGCAAAGCCGCAAUACAUAGAAGGCAUUUGAAAUUCUUUGAUUUGGAUAAUGUGUGGCUGGAGUAUAUGGAAUUAAAUGAUUUGUGGAGAGUAGACCAUUUUGGUCCAAAUGACUGGACUCAUUUUUGCAUCAGCAUUAGAGUAUGCAAUUAUCACGAACUACUUGUGAAGAAGUGUGGAUUUCGACUAAUAUGCAAGCCACUAGAGAGUGAUUUAGAGGUUUUGCUUCAAGACGAUCAGUUGCUAGAUCCAGCUUUAUUGUACAAGGUUUCGCAUGAAGAUAAUCCAAUGAGCACAAAGGAAAAAAGAUUCGGCAUGGUUGAUUCGUCAAUCGAGGUAUCUCUCUCUCUCUCUCUCUCUCUCUCUCUUCUCCCAAUGUGUGUGUAUAUGCAUGUGUUGAUACGGUGUACAUUGGGUGCAUGUAAUGCAAAACUGUAAAUUCUAGACAAACAAACAAAUUUAAUAUAAAGUGAUUCUGCACGUGUAUAAAGCUUAACAAAAUCUCAACUUGAUACAAUGAUGAAGACCCGAUGUUCGUAAUUCCUGUAUUUUAAAAUACGGUUGAAAUCUUAGAAAAUCUAAUGAACAAAUGGACACGUGGUUCUUGAUGUUACGGUUGAUCAUAACAACUCACACCAAUAAUAGUACUAGAUCAACUCUAUGGACUAAGAUAAAACUGCAUAACUAUAAUAAUUCAAUAAUUCGACAUGAGACCUUUUUCACUCUUACGUGUUUGUUGCUAUUAUGAUAGGGGACCGUCGUAUUACAUGCCUGGCUAGCCACAUGCGGAUUACUUGGAUAGUGUGAUUUAAUUUUAUUAAUAGAGAGUAUUGUAUUUGAGAUUCUCCUUUUAUAUAAAGUUAGAGCAGACAUAAAAGGGUAAGUGGUUGGAUGAGGCUGGUCUGUGGAGAGGGCAUGCAUUAGAUUUUCCUUUUCAAUUUUCCGUUAGUUUGAGUGCAAGUAGAUUUUUAUUUAUUUUUUUAUUUAUUUUAAUAAUGUUAAAUUUGUUGCAUGUAAGUUGGAGUUCAAUUAGGACAGUUUGUACUGAAGAAUCAGUGAUCUCCAAAGUGAACUCGUAACAAUGAACAUUAGACAAUGGGGUCUGACGAGGACGAUUAAUUUCUUGGAUAUGCUGUUCUAUUUUCCAUCAAUUUUUCACUUCCUAUAUAUUACACUUGCAGUGUAUGAGCUGUGUUUAGGGUUAUUCAAUCUAACAUUAGGGGUGGGUAGCACUUGUAGGGCAAUGAUUUCCAACAUAAGCAACGAUCAAUAUGUCUAAUUAUUACAUAACUCUUGCUUUAGUUGAAUUACUAGUAAUAUGCACAAAUCAAACUCUUUUUCUUGAACUAAUUACAAACUUGGAUACUUCUAAUAAUUUACACAUGUAACAGAGGCAUCGCUAUUCCAGCCUUUGGUGUCCCCCCUGGGAAUGUUAGCCCUGGAAGAGAGAUGCCAAAGGGGUUUGUCCCUGUUGAAGGCAGUACUAUAUCUUUCAAGGCUUCGCAAGACUUGUACAACAACUUCGUAGGAUUUUUUCUCUGUGUUGUCUUUGAUGUAGAAGAUGGAGAAAAGGAAGUAUCUUUCGACAUCAUACCACGUGUCAACGGCCAAAAGCGGAAUGAGGUAUCGGGAACUCUCGGUUAAUUUUAUAUGGAUCACGUGUGGUUUCAAUUUUUCAGAACAAAUGCACUGUGGGGAUUAUUGGAGGGAGCAGUCGACUUUGGUCAAUUUGACGAGAGUUAUCCGAUAUUUAGCCUUAAUAUUAGAGUAACAGGUGCAACCGUUAAAAAGUUGGGAUAUGUGUUGCAAUCCAAUCCUCUAGAGGAUUCUUUGAAGGUUGAGAUUAAAAAGAAUUGCUUAAUGGAUCUGGCUUCACUCUUUGAGGAUGGGGAGGAUCCACAGUAUGCGUGGAGCGAAUGGGAGGAUCCACAGGAUGCGUGGAGCGAAUGGGAGAAUCCACAGUAUGCGGGGAGCGAAGGGGAGGAUUUGUCACUCCUUGAGGAUGGGGAGGAUCCACUGUACUAUGAGGGGAGCAAAUGGGAGGAUUGGUGCAAGAGACUCGAAGAUAUGCAUGGAGGGAGAGACUCAAUAUAUUAGAAGAGGGGCAUCAUGCCUGGCUCACGUGUCUUCAGCAUGGGGGUGCUGCGGGAGGUAAAGCAGAGGUUUUGCGAAAAUAUUCGGAGUCAUUUUCAAGUUAUUUGUAUUAGGGUUUGGGUGAAUGUGUGUGAGUGAUUGAUAGUAUGUGCAUGGAUAAGGAUUGCGAGUGUAUCUGGUUUUUUUUUUUUUUUUUUUUUUUUUUUUUUUUUUUUUUUUUUUUACGAUUUCUAUUUUUUCUUCCUUUUGUGGCCAAUGGGGGCGGGUAAAAUCCCUCCAUCUCUAUAUUUGGGCUAGUUUCUCGCCUUAGUGAUAGUGUUUCUUGUUUUUGCUUUUGUUAAAAAAAUCAUUUGAUUGAAGAACCAUUCCAAAAAGAAAUUGCUAUUCGUAUUGUUAGUUGAGCAAACCCAAUGAGCUUUUCCAUCUCGAGCUUUUGCCAAUAUAUAUAUAGAUACCCCAUGCAUAUAUUAAAAUACACUAUGCUCAUACAUAACUAUAGAUGGACGAAAUCAUAACUUGAGAUAAUGAAGAUGAUUCACAGGUUAGCGAUUAACAUCUUAUCUUUUAAAUAUGAAUACAAAAGAAUUCUCUACUUUUUAUUGUCUUACCUUAUAAAAGAGGUUAAAAAUUUUACAUACUAACAAAUAUCAUGACGCUGCAUGUACAUAAGAAAUUGAUAUUUUGAAAGUUGGACAAAGUAAAUAUAUUAUUUGCAUGUAAUAAACAUGACAGUACCAUUUUGCUAUACUUCUUGUCUUAUUAUAUUGUGCUUUAGCUUUAAAUCCUAAAUUUGUUAGCAUUUAAUACUAAAUGCUACAAAUUUUGAGUAAUUUAUAAAAUGUUCUAGUUAUUAAAAAUCAUUUGAAAUGCUUUUACAUGCUUACUUUGUUUGAAAUAUAUGUGAUCUUAAACAAAUGAAAGAAUUAUAUAAUCAAAUCUACCAUAAAAGUUAUACGUGAUGUCAUGUGACUGAUUUAAAUUAUAUUGUUACAUAAUGGUCAAGAUUAUGUUAUUUCGUAAUAUUUAAAUCAUUAAAUCAUGGAAAUAAAUAGUUGGUGAAAUACACAAAAUGAAACAAUGCGAUUGAGGAUGCCACUUCCUCAUGGCUCCAUCACCAUUAAUCGAUCGUUUGUACCAUCUCUGAUCGGUGACACCCGCCGUCAAAUCUCGCCCGUCGGUCACCGCAAUUGCGGCCAUGACGGAGCAGAGAACGGAUGCUCAUCACCACCGAUCGAACUUCUCUCGUGCUCUUUCUCCCUCGCUUGGUGCGUGCGUGAGAGCUGAGGAACCGAGCAAAGCAAGAAUGCACGCGCACAGACCGAGAAAAAUAUCUUCCUCUCUCAUCUUGAGCGCUCUGGACCGAAUUCAGUGUCCACACCCGCGGUCGAAGCCAGUUGCAGCUGAAUAUCUUCAUCGAGCAAUUUCGUUGCUGAAAUGAUUCGUCGCCUUAGCUUCGUGUUUGUGAGAUUCUUCAAGUCUUUCGAUGUCUUCAUUUAUUAGCAGGUAACCGUUCGGAUCAGAUCUCCCCAAGGUAACCUAGAAGAAAAAGAAUCUAGAAGAUAACCUGUAUAUGAGUGUAGUUGCUGAACAAUCAAUUGCAAUACACCAGUUGAACAUUUCUUUUCAUCUUUCUUCUUGUUCAACCUUACAAGCUUUACUAUAUGAAGAACAAAAAAAAUACAGAGAGAGAGAGAGAGAGAGAGAGAGAGAGAGAGAGAGAGAGAACUUGAGAAGAACAGAGAGAAUUAAGAGAAUAGAGAGAUUCGAGUUUUCAGAAAAUGUAUUACAACAGUUCAUCAGUUUCCUUCAAUCCCUUUAUACUAAAGCUUAACUACUUAGACUUUCUUUCAAAACAGAUUUAACAACUUUAGUAAGAGAAUGAUUAAUCUUGGCACACGUGCAGCUCCUACAGUAGCUUGAUCAACUUUUGUUCUUGGUUUUACUCUUUUGUAUAAUCUGAUUCUUCACAGGGAUUGCCAGCUCAACUUUUCUACAGAUCACCAGCUCAGCUUUUGUUUCUUCGACUUCUUUAUAGUUUGCCAGCUCAUCUUUCAGCUUUACUUCGAUCUUGCUCUGCUUUGGUUUAUUCAGCUGCCUUGUUCAGCUGUAGUUGCAACUCAUCUUUCCCUUCUUUUAUCAUCUUCACUUUGCUCAGCUCAUUUGCUUCUAUCAGCUUCUUUGUUCUGUGUUUUUAAUCUUUGUUUUGUCUCUUUAACAUCCCCCCUCAAAUUGGGAAUGGGGAGAGCACAGAUUCCCAAUUUGACUCGUAGAUGAGAAUGUGCUACUCGUGACAAGGGUUUUGUAAAGAUAUUAGCAAGUUGGCAAUGACUCGGAAUAUAUCUUACAUGUAAUGACCCAGAAGAUACCUUUUCUCGAACAAAAUGAAAAUCUACUUUAAUAUGUUUUGUUCGAGCAUGUAAGACAGGAUUAACAGUGAGCGAGAUAGCCGAUUUAUUGUCACAGUAUAGAUGAAUAGGAGGAGUAAGAGAACAACCUAUGUCUCGUAAGACAAAGUUGAUCCAAGUGAGAUCAGCAGUGGUUGAUGCAAGAGCACGAUACUCAGCCUCUGUAGAGGAUCUACUAACUGUUGGUUGUUUCUUUGCUGCCCAGGAGAUAAGAUUGGAGCCAAGAUAUGUGCAAAAUCCAGUUGUUGAUCUUCUGGUUUCAGCACACCCAGCCCAGUCUGCAUCCGAGAAGCCAUAGAGAUGCAUAGUGCUUUGUGAAUGCAUGAAUAAGCCGAAUCUAAUUGUACCUUUAACAUAUCUCAGUACCCUUUUCAAUCUAUGGAGGUCUGCGAUGGUAGGUUUCUGCAUUUUCUGGCAGAGUAGANNNNNNNNNNNNNNNNNNNNNNNNNNNNNNNNNNNNNNNNNNNNNNNNNNNNNNNNNNNNNNNNNNNNNNNNNNNNNNNNNNNNNNNNNNNNNNNNNNNNNNNNNNNAAUAGUUGGUUUUAAUGAAAGAGGAGUUGGAAUUGGUUUAGACUUGAGCAUAUGGGCUCGGGUGAGAAGAUCAAUAGCAUAUUUAGCUUGGCAAAGGAACAAAUGUUUAGGAGUACGCUUAACUUCAAUGCCAAGGAAAUAGUGUAGUGAACCAAGAUCCUUCAUAUGAAACUGAAGACUUAGAGAAGUAAUGAGACUAGAGAGUAUUUGAGAUGAGCUUCCAGUUAGAAUGAUAUCAUCAACAUAUAGUAGUAAGAGGAUUGUUUCUGUAUCGGUAUGUAGGAUGAAUAAUGAGGGAUCAAUUGAGCUACAAAAGAAUCCAUAUUCUAGUAAGUAACUGCUAAACUUAUCAAACCAAGCUCGAGGAGCUUGUCGAAGUCCAUAGAGGGAUUUUCUGAGGAGACAAACAUGAUGAGGUCUCUGUGAUUCUUUAAAACCUGGUGGUUGUUCCAUAUAAACUAUUUCACUCAAGUUACCAUGUAAGAAAGCAUUUUUAACAUCUAGCUGAUGAAUUGGCCAUUGUUUCAUCAUUGCUACUGAGAGAAUUAUUCGAAUUGUAGCAUGCUUCACUACAGGACUAAAGGUUUUGGUGAAAUCAAGACCUUCUUCUUGAUGGAAACCUUUGGCUACAAGUCGAGCUUUCAGUCUAUCUAAACUCCCAUUAGGUGCAAGCUUUGUUUUAAACACCCAUUUGCAGCCAAUUACAUUCAUUUGAUCAAUUCUAGGGACUAACUCCCAGGUUUUAUUUUGAUACAAAGCAUCCAUUUCUUCUUGCAUUGCUUGACACCAUCCUUUGUGUGCUAAUGCAGACUUUACUGACUUUGGUUCAACAGGAACCUGAUAUUCAACCAGACAUGCAUAUUUUGGAUUUGCUUUAUCAAUCUCAGAUCUUAGUCUAGUCUGCAUAGGAUGAGUAGAAAAUGUACCUUGUGUACUUCCUGAUAUAGAACUGAUUUGUGCUUAUUUUGUAUUAACAUGUGAUGCCGAGUCAGAUUCUUGACUGGUAGACACUUGUUCUGCAAUAUUUGGAGAUAUUUGAGAUGCUUUAACAUUACUGAAUGCAUUAUCAGGAGUGAUCUGGAGCUCAGCAUCAGGUAUUGUGUUCAUUUGUGGUAUAACUAUAGGAUUGAUUAUGUUGAUCCCACUGUCCUACAUUUUUGGAAUGAUUUGACUUGAUCCAGUAUUCUGCAAAGUUUCAAUUGAUUUAUUGGCUUGUGACUGAAUCUGUUCUAUAGUAUUGGAUAUAGGAGAUACCAAUCCUCUUAUCCAUUGCUUGUAUAGUUCAGAUCCCUGUUGAUAUUCAGCAGUAGUUCUUUGAGUAAAAAGAAAUACUUUUUCAUCAAAAACUACAUGUCUUCUAAUAUAGACAUGUCCAUUAGUAGGCAAAAGACACUUGUAGCCUUUAUGUUUCUCACUGUAUCCAAGAAAUAUACAUGUGAGAGAUCUUGGAUCAAAUUUAUGCUUUGUAUAGGGUCGGAGACAUGGAUAACAUGCUAAUCCAAAAACUUGUAGAUGAGCAUAAUUUGGUUUCUAUUUAUACAGCUUAUAGUGAGGUGAGUUCAUAUGUAGUUUUGUUGUGGGAAGCAAAUUGAUUACAUAGACUGCUGCCAUGAAGGCAUCUACCCAGUAUUUUAAUGGUACUCUUGCAUGAUACAUCAUUGCUAUGCCCAAUUCAACCACAUGUCUAUGCUUUCUCUCAGAAACACCAUUUUGCUCUGGUGUAUAAGGACAAGAAAUGUUCUGCUUAAUGCUACACUGUUGUAGAUGAUUCUGAAAUUUGAUGCUAGUGACUCCUCCUCCAUCACUCUGAAACACUUUGAUCUUGUGAUCAAGCCGAUUCUCUACUAGUCUUUGAAACAUAACAAACACAUCAUACACUUCUGACUUCUGUCUCAUUGGAUAUAUCCAAUUAUAUCGAGAAAAAUCAUCCACAAAGAUGACAUAGUAACGAAAUUUCUGAACAGAUGGAAUUGGUGAUGGUCCCCAUGCAUCACAAUGUAUCUUUUCUAGGGGAACAUUAGAGAUAUAGUCUGAGAGUGGAAAGGGCAAAGCUGAGCUUUUAGUAAUUUGACAGCUGCUACACAUACUUGGAGCUUUCAAAUUAUAUUGGAUCAAAUGUUGACUUUGCAGAAUCUUCACUGUUUUUAAACUGGUAUGAGCAAGUCUUUGAUGCCAGACAUCUUCUCCUACUUCAUGUUGAGUCUGAGUGAAGAAAGCUUCUGUGGCUCUAGAUUCCACUCGAUACAGCCCCUUGAUUUUCCUUCCUAGCUUUACUGUUGUAUGAUUGUAAUGGUCAUUCAUAUUGUCACGCCCCAAUCCUCGGGCACGCACACAUCCUUCUACCUUGGUCGAUUUUAUAAUGCGAUAUCCCAGGACAAUGUAUCGCCGACCCUUUCUUUUAUUAAGCACAUGCGGAAGCAAUUAAAAUCCCCAGACAAUAAAACGAUGGGAAAGAAAAGCAGGGCCAUAUUUUUCAUAUUGAAAUUUAUAACCAAACUUUUAUACAAAACACAAACCAUAACACUUCACAACUUUUUAUUCUAAACUCUAUUCACAUCAAAAUGGAGAUAUCAAAGAAGAUAACAUCUCAGUCCACCUGGGCCGUCCUCAAGGCCCUUCUCAGGAUUGUCUUCUUCUUCCAAAAAUCAUUCUCUUCAGAUUUCACCUCCGAGUUCUCCUUCUCGGAUUCCUCCUCUUCAGCUCUUCAGCGGGGUCCUGAAAUGGUUUUCCCCAAACUGGGAUGAGACUACGUCUCAGCGAGUUCUACCCCACUAAGCCCGAUUAGUAAACUACUAUACUAAAGGCUGCCUAAACACGCACAGGGCAGAGGACUUACCUUGGCCUCAGAUCCCACCUGCAAGUCAGUACAAUUCAUAAUAGGCACCCAAGCAAUCAUAUGACCGAUCGAAGCAUCGAUCAAAUCGACCUAGUCGAUUACAUGCCAAACAAAUCAAUCCCCACUGUGGGAUAUUUAAAAACUAGGCCACGUGUAUUCUCCAGGAUGACCUUCCAAGUCUCCGAGUCACGUGCCUUGAACCUUGGGCCCACGUGCAUUCUCUCAGGCGACCUUUUCGCCAAAGUGAUGCAUCAAGUCACCGAGACCACGUGCCCUUUUAGAUGCCCGGGCCCACGUGCAUUCUCUUAGGUGCAUCUCACCAAAGCGAUGCAUCAAUUCGCCGAGACCACGUGCCCUUUUAGAUGCCAUUCCGGAAUGCUGGACCCACGUGCAUUCUCUAAGGUACUCGCUUACCAAAGUGACGCAUCAGAUCACCGAGCCACGUGUCCUUUUAGAUGCCAAAUCCUGUCACCGAGCCACGUGCAUUCUCCAGGACGACAUACCGAGUCUCCGAGCCACGUGCAUUCUCUCAGGCGACCUUUUCGCCAAGGUGACAUAUUCAACCACUGAACUCACGUGCAUUCUCCAGGUGACAUUCCAAUUCACCGGGCACACGUGUCCUCUUUCAAGUGGUCACCAAAUCUACUUUCAACACCGAUAACCAAUGCCCAACGAUUUCUCAAUCAAAUAAUUAAAUCAACUCCACAAAGCAUUAUAAAUACUGAAUAACAUACUUGGCCAUUUACCAAUCAACAAUUCAAUCGCAAUCAAUUCCAAUCAAUUUAGGGUAAAUCCCUAAAAUAUCACAAUUUAUUCAAUUCCAUACAACGUAGAGCUCAAAUAAAUAAACGAAUUGCGCCACGACGAUCAGCACGAGAUUUCGGUCGUCAGCCAUCAAAAUCUUAAUUUCCGAAAAAUAAAUAAAUAAUUAUUAAUUUCGAAAAUUAAUUAAUUACUAUUAAAAAUUCAAUUUAGCUCAAAAUAAAGCCUGAUUAAAUAAACAGACUUCACCACAGUCAUCAGCAUAAUAUUCCGGUUCCGAACCAUCUCCCUUGAAUUUUCAGAAAAUAAAUAAUUAUUUAAUUUAAUUUCGAAAAUUAAUAUUUAAAUACUAAAAAUAUCCACUUAGGCCCGAAAAGCCUAAUUGGAGCCCACUAAGGGUCGGGAAAAUUCCCGAAGCACUUCCAAUAAUUAGUAGACCACGUCUACUUGCUAAUUACACAAUCAAUUUAUCUAAAUCACAUCACAAUUGACUAAUAAUUGCUAAUUUAUUCUAAUCUAACAACCUAAACAUAAUUAAUUAAAUCUAAACCAGCUUAAAACAUAAUUAGCCACUAAUCCUGGAUUAGUGAGAUUACUCACCAAAUCGCACGCAAAUCGGAUCAAUCCGACGGCGGCGACGCGAGGAACGAUUGUUCCCAAAGCACGGCUCGGGUUCGGGGCCGGGAAACGGUCCAAAAGCGGGCCCGAAGGUGCUGAAACCCACUUCGUGGGUCUUGCUGGUCGCGGCCAAACAGAGCAGCUCCGGCGGCUAGGGCGGCGGGGAAGGCUGGCGGAGGGCGAGGGAGUCGCGGGGGUGGUCCGGCGAGGUUGGCGGUGGCCGGAGGUGGCCGGAGAGGGGCUGGUCGGUGCUGGAACAGAGACGAAACAGGGAUGGGCCGAGCUGGAUCGCGCGGCCUGGGCGCACGCGGACGGCGGCGGGCGCACGGGCGCGGGCGACGGUGCGGCGGUGCGGCGAGCGGGACGAGCGGCAAGCGGCUGGGGGGCGAGCUACAGCUUCUGGUUCGCUCGGCGUGGAGAAAAGAAGGAGAAGAAGAAAGAAGAAAAGGGGGUUCGGUCGAGCGUGCAGAGGAAGAAAGAAGAGAGAGGAGAGAGAAGAGAGAGAGAAAAGAGAGAGAUAAGGGUGUGGGGUUUUGACUAGUCAAAGAAGAGAGAAAGAAAGUGGGCGGUGGGGGCAAUUCGCACGAGGGAGAGGGGAGAGGAGAGAGAGAGAAAGAAAAGAAAGAAAAGAAAAGAGAGGGAGAGAGAGGAAAAAGAAAAGGAAAUGUAUAAUUCCUUAUUUCAAUUUUCCUUUUCUCUUUUCCUUUUCCUUUCUCUUUUCUUUUGGGCUUCAAUUUUCUUCCGAUAAUUUCUUUAUUGAAAUUCCGGACUCGUCAAUAAAUUGACGAGCGAUGAGACAGGGUCCUAAAAAUAAGAAUUAUGACGCGCUUAAAAUUCGAUUCCCGAAAUCGAGUUCAAUUUCGUGGUUAAAAAUCGAUCAGACGUGAUUUUAGCUCAAUCCAACCAAUUAGGUAGCUUUUAGGGAUUUUACAGCUGAUACAUCCCUUAACGGCUUCACCCAAUAGGUCAGUUAACUCGUGAGUGAUCAGCUCAGAGAAAAAGGCCAUAGGCACGCCGACGAAAUGCCCAUUUCACUUUAUCGAAACGGAGUCGAAUUUCAGGACGUCACACAUAUACACCCCCAUGUUUGUCAAAUAUAAAAGAACAAGGAUAGUCAUCUGUUAAUUUUGAUAUAGAAAGGAGAUUCUUCUUGAUUUCAAGAACUAUUAAAACAUCAUUUAGUGGUAAUAUGCUAGUUGUUGUAUUUAAUGUUCCAUUACCAAUACAUGAGAUUGAUAAACAAGACCCAUCUUGUGAUGUCCCAGAGCGUCACGUACUAAGCGCAAGCAGAAUUAUAAUUAUUAUUAUUAUUAUCUUUUUAACUAGUAAUCUCCUUUAGAUAACCCAUAGAGUUUACCAUUGAAGGUUAGCAUGUAUAACAUGGAUUAUUUUAAAAUCUCAAGUUUAUAUUAUAAGGUUAUCCUGCAAUGCACAUAGACAAGAUCAUAAAGGGCUUCCUUUCAUUUUAUCAUCAUCGGGGCAUACAAAAUUAUCGACCUGGACUCAUUCCAUGUUCUUCGCCUAUAUAUUUACAUCAUAUACCAAAACAAAAGUAAGGCAUAACAAAAGCCAGGGAUAUGGGUGAGGUUAUCUACUCCAUGAGUUCCCACACUAGCCUGCAUCUAACAAAAAACAAAAGUCAGUCAGCCUCUACACGAUCCAAGGCGUCUAGGCGCCGUCCAUCCCCGCUCCAGGUCCUCCUACUCCAAAGGGUAAAGGUCUGAACAUCUCUCCUUCAUGGUUGACAAACCAUGCAACGAACGUCAUCGGUAAUAACUCAGCUCUACCGUCAUCCAACCAUAAGGUGGCCUCAUACUUGGAGAGGGUCAUGUCAAUGUCGGGAUCAUACUCGUCAUGAAGAGAAACAUCAAGACGCACUACCGCCCCGUAUCGAGCUACCGGCGGUACAUCCAUGCUAUCAAUCUGAAAAUGUAAGGUAUGAGCAAACAACCUUGCCCAAUAAAGAAUGAUAAAACUCUAACUUAAACAAUCCAUAGCCAUCAAAGUUACAAGUGAAUCAUCAAACAAUUUAGGAUGCUAAGAGAAUAUAUCACAAGCAUAAACAAUACUAUUACUUCAUGUAAGAAAUCACCUUAUAUGCAUCCACUUCUAUACUUACCCUUCACAAACUCAAUCUCACAUCAAAAUAUAAUGCAACAAUAAUAGAUGAACUCAAUUGCCAAAUAAUUAUAUUUAGUGUGCAUAAAAUCCACCCUCGAUCAAUCAUUAACAGGAAUUCAACCGGCCGANNNNNNNNNNNNNNNNNNNNNNNNNNNNNNNNNNNNNNNNNNNNNNNNNNNNNNNNNNNNNNNNNNNNNNNNNNNNNNNNNNNNNNNNNNNNNNNNNNNNNNNNNNNNNNNNNNNNNNNNNNNNNNNNNNNNNNNNNNNNNNNNNNNNNNNNNNNNNNNNNNNNNNNNNNNNNNNNNNNNNNNNNNNNNNNNNNNNNNNNNNNNNNNNNNNNNNNNNNNNNNNNNNNNNNNNNNNNNNNNNNNNNNNNNNNNNNNNNNNNNNNNNNNNNNNNNNNNNNNNNNNNNNNNNNNNNNNNNNNNNNNNNNNNNNNNNNNNNNNNNNNNNNNNNNNNNNNNNNNNNNNNNNNNNNNNNNNNNNNNNNNNNNNNNNNNNNNNNNNNNNNNNNNNNNNNNNNNNNNNNNNNNNNNNNNNNNNNNNNNNNNNNNNNNNNNNNNNNNNNNNNNNNNNNNNNNNNNNNNNNNNNNNNNNNNNNNNNNNNNNNNNNNNNNNNNNNNNNNNNNNNNNNNNNNNNNNNNNNNNNNNNNNNNNNNNNNNNNNNNNNNNNNNNNNNNNNNNNNNNNNNNNNNNNNNNNNNNNNNNNNNNNNNNNNNNNNNNNNNNNNNNNNNNNNNNNNNNNNNNNNNNNNNNNNNNNNNNNNNNNNNNNNNNNNNNNNNNNNNNNNNNNNNNNNNNNNNNNNNNNNNNNNNNNNNNNNNNNNNNNNNNNNNNNNNNNNNNNNNNNNNNNNNNNNNNNNNNNNNNNNNNNNNNNNNNNNNNNNNNNNNNNNNNNNNNNNNNNNNNNNNNNNNNNNNNNNNNNNNNNNNNNNNNNNNNNNNNNNNNNNNNNNNNNNNNNNNNNNNNNNNNNNNNNNNNNNNNNNNNNNNNNNNNNNNNNNNNNNNNNNNNNNNNNNNNNNNNNNNNNNNNNNNNNNNNNNNNNNNNNNNNNNNNNNNNNNNNNNNNNNNNNNNNNNNNNNNNNNNNNNNNNNNNNNNNNNNNNNNNNNNNNNNNNNNNNNNNNNNNNNNNNNNNNNNNNNNNNNNNNNNNNNNNNNNNNNNNNNNNNNNNNNNNNNNNNNNNNNNNNNNNNNNNNNNNNAAUGAAACAACUUAUCUACCACAAAUCUCUCUAAAAUACUCCAAUGCUUACUCACAGCAACUCAAAGCAACUUCAGCAUAUCUUUCUCUAACAAAUGAUCAAUUCCACAGCUCGGCUCGAAGUGUCGUUGCAUCCGUAAGCCACUAUUCACGAUUUCUACCAAAACAACACACUCGGCAUCCAUUUCAUCACCUCGCUCAACAAGACAGCAUACUCACACAAGGAUUUCGAGACAUGCAGUCCUCAAAAACAACAUGCAAUGGCUUCUAACUCUAAUCUAACACUUACUCAGCUUAGAUCAAUUACAAAACAGCAACUACAAACUAUAUCCAUCACAGUUUGGUUAGAUCCUCAAGCUCCCUUUAUGAAACAAUGGAUAACUUUCAAUUUAGAGUUAGAUCUUUCCUUACCUUGCUUCAGCUACUAAACAACACAGAGAUGCUUCAAGAUCAACACUCAAAAUCAGCAUGCAAGAAGAAGAAGGUUGCUGGUUUGCUUCUGGUUUUUCGCUGCUCAGCCGAGAAAAAAGAUGAAGAAGAAGAUGAAGAUGGGGGUUGCUCAGUUUUAUAUGGAGAGAGAGAGAGAGAGAGAGAGAGAGAGGAUAUGAAGCUUAAGGGGGAAAAUAAGUCUACAAACUAAUCCCUAGGCUAGUGUAAUGAUGAGAUCUUGUAAUGAUUAUGUUCCUUGAGUUUGCAUGUCUCGGUUCAUGGGAAUCAAAACCGUGGGUGAAGAAAAACAAAGAGAGAAGAGAGGUGUCGUGGCCUCCAAGCUUGUUCUCUCAAGUUUAAUUUGUCACUCAAAAUUAAUUAGUCUCUAAUCUGAGUCAUUAGUCGGUUCAUUGAUUUCUAAUAUUUUUCCAUUUAUUCCCUUUUGUUUCAACUUGAUUUCAAUCCUUUUGUGAUUAUACAAAGUCAUGGCAUAACAUAUCGAAUGACAUAACAUAUCGACUAGUCAAUGUUAGUGUAUAAAGAAUUCAUCACAAAAAGAAUGCUAAUGUUAUAAAUUGAUAUUAGCAUUAUAAACAUUAAUCAAGUUAUCAUAACUUUAAAUAAAAUCAGUCGGGCCUAAAUAUUCAUUCUCGGCCCAACAGGCUCAAUCUACAACGAUCCAGCCCACUAAACUAAAUCUACCAAUCUAAUAAUUCCGAACCUUGGCCUGCUUCAAACCAAGUCAAAGCCCAUAAUCUCUCAUUAGAUUUCUUACGUCCAAUUCGGGAAAAAUCCCAAGAUUCAUUCAAUAAAUAAUAGUACGUCUCUACUUGCUAAUGACUAAGUCUAACCACCUAACAUGCAUCAUUAAGUCACUAAUUUAAUUGAUUUAAACUAAUCUAACCACAUAAUUGUACUUAAUUAAAUCUAAUCAACCCUUAAGCAUCAUUAGUCUACUAAGCAAGGAUUAGUGAGAUUACUCACUUGAUUAAAAGCAGGGACCGGGACACCACAACGGCGACGCGACGGCGGCCGAAAUCGGAUUCUCGGUGACACCGGCGGGCUUGGACCGGGCCUUUAACUUAGCCCAACAAAUCUCCGUCUAAAUUGAGAUUUGUUACUGAAAUGGGCCGAGCUUGACUGAAAUAGCACUUGCUGGGCUUCUUGGGCCGCAGGACUUCAAAGGCUGGGCUGACUUGCUGGGCCAGAAUUAAACUGAAAAUGGGCUCUCUCUAGGCUGAAAUGAGCCAAAUUGCUAGGCUUCAAUUCUAAUUGAUGAUGGGCUGAAUUAAAAAUUGAACUGGGCUGAGCAAGAUGCAAACUGGAAGCUAGGCUGGUCGGUGGCUUCAAAUGAGCUGCUGGGCUGAUGAAAACGGGCCGAACAAGGCAGAGAUGGGCCUUGACAAUUUCGUGAAGGCUGAGGGCACGCCGCUGGAGAAGACUGAAGACGGAAGCUGCUCGAGGACACUGCUUCGCUGGCCAAACUCGACUGACUCGGUGGCCGACCAAAAAUUAAAAUCAGUGCAGGCACGUUGCUGCUGGAGGAGACUCGGACGUGUGGCGUUGGUGUUGCGAACGCAACGAAGGCUCGGUGAAACGUGGGCUUCAACUCGAUGGAGGCUGGCAGCUGGAGUAACGACAGUUGCUGACACUGUUGGGCUGACCGCGCUGAAGAUGUUGGCUUGGAUUGACUUUACUUCGGUGGGAUCUUCGCUGGAGAAGCAAUGAACGGAAGCAGCUUCAAUUUGAGGCUUCGUGGGAGUCGGUCAACCAGGGCUUCGGUGGUUGGUUUGUUGACCGAAGCAGAAGGAGGAGCAGGCAGGUGGCAGCGUGGAGAUGGAGCGGUGGCGUGCAGUCAGGUGACGUGCAUGGAGAUGGGGGCUUCACCGCUUGCUGACCUCCGUCCGUUGAAAUGAAGACGUGCAGUUGUGGCGUGGCUGCUGCCUCUGUCUUCUUGCGAUGGAAUUCACGCGGAGGAGUGGCCGAGAUGGAGGGAGCAGUCGCACGAAAUGGGAAUGAUGGAAGGGAAGCAUCUCACGGCAGCAAGUUGGAGAGGAUGAGGGAGAGUUGGGCUCCACUUGGUUGGAUAUUUUGCAAAAUAUCUUCCGAAAGUCAUUCUUAGCCAUGCAUUAAUACUUGGCCUUCAAUAGGCCAUCCAAAUGUCCUAUAUAACCUCCCAAGUGAUCCAAUUUUGCUAGGCUAAAGGGGGUUACGAAAUUGAGAGAGAGAUGGCCUCAAUUGGUUCUAAAUCCCUCUUGAUUUCAUCUCAAUUGAUUCUCACAAAUUCAAUUGAUCAUUCAUUGAUUGUCUCUGCAUUUUUCCUCACUCAAGAAUCCACCAAAAAUCCAAAUUGAUACCAAUGUUGCACACCCCCAUCUUAAGAUUCGAUUUUAACUAAGUUCGAACUAAAUUUCAAUUCCAAUCUCUCCAAAUUGAGGUCCAAUUUUGAUGUAGAAAAAUCCCAAGAAAUUUUCUAUAAAUCUCCGACACACAAAGGCUCGGCCUGAGAGUCCAAUUUUCCAUUAAUUUAGCCAAUCUAAAUUUCCAUUGAUUUUUCACAACGUCCGAACCCAUUUUCCGUAAAAAUCUCGAUACCUCCGAAAAAUCUUCUGAGACUGAGUUGACGUUCCUAAAAUAGCUUGUGACAUCACCGAACUUUCGAUUUCUGAAAUCUGACUCAAAUUGACGGUUAAUUUCACUACGUCGUGUUUUUAGCGUGACUAAAACUACCGGGUAGUUUUCGGAACUUUUUAGGGCAAUUGACUCGUUAUCGAUUUUCUUCCAGCCACAAUGAACCCACUCGACACAUUGGCGACUCUCGAUUGUUGUGAAAAUCUCGAGGCCUCGAUUACAAAUACAAGGUACCAAAACGACAGAAAAAUCAAAUUAGUGCCGGUCGACGAGAAUUUUCCAAUUUAGUGGAGUCACCCACGAUCGGCCACACAUCUCAGUCGAACCGACCUAUCUCUGAUCUCAAUUCGAUCUUUAACUAUGCAGUAAUGACCUCUAAAGAUGAACACGGUCAAGAAGCCGAUUCCUGGUCGAAUUCUCAAGUCUAUUGCCUUAAUAUUCUUUAAUGGCUUACCCAGCUAGUCUAGUUAUCUCGAGAGUGAUCAGCUCUGAGAACAACCCUAUAGACGCGUCAAUGAAAUGCCCGAUUAAUUUAAUAGAAAACAAUACUGAAAAUUCUGGAUGUCACAAGUCCACCAAAGUUUGAGGAAGAGAGUCUUCAACCUACUUUAAAUUCAAACUAAGCGGAAACGGUACGAGAAAUGCUCAGGGAUUGGAAGCUUAGUAAGUUGAGAAAUUAUGGAUAUAUAAAAGCAGUUAAGAAAUCGUGGAUAUGUAAAAGAAGUUAAGUUAAGAAAUGGACAUCGACCUAGUAAUAAAUAAGGGGAAUUUAAGACUUAUGAAUAGAAGAUAUGUGAAGGAAAAAGAUGUGUUGAAAUUAUGCCGGAAUCCUGCCAAAAUUACUGCUGAUUUCCCUUUGAGUAUCGUCGUAACGUCGAUGUCGAUCUCAAUGUCUCCAUUUGAGCGUCAAUUGUACAAACUGUGAUUAAUUUCAAUUCCAGCAAUGUCAAUGUCCCAGUAAUCUCAUUUUCAGUUAAUUUCGUUUAGCUCAUUCCUUUUGGUGUUCUUUGCUUUGAUUUCCUUGUUCCCUGCAUUGCACCUUUAAAUAAUUCAUAGAACUUCCACUUUUAUUUCUGAGCAAAAAUUGCUAUUCCUGUCAGUUAAAUCGAUUUCCAUCAAACAAUUUCAUCCAUUGCUUCCGGGAGCUAGCAUGCACACACGCACACCAUCAAAGCCAUCUUUAGAAAAAUUGUUUGUGGACAGUUUAAUCAAUUUAAAGCCAAGCUAGAAUCAGAAAGUAAGCUUGUUAUUUGUUUUCCCAACCGCUUGACAGCCAGAUCAACUAACAUCUAGUGAAUUUGCUACAACAAUAUCAUAUAGCUAAACAGGCCAAUGUACACAAGUGGUUGCACUAUAAUAGGAUUCUAAAGUUAGCCACCACUGGUUCAAGAGGUGACUCCCGCCAUGUGAUAGUUUCUCCUAACAAGGCUCAAGAGGCGACUUCCACAACAUAACACUUUGUCCCGUGUGGCAUUUGGUUUGCAUUGUACACAAAUGUCAUUCCAUAUUCAAUGUACAGGUCACAUAUCUCAUGCUCAAUAUUUCACACAAUGAAUGAUGAUUCCUCAAGCAGAUUUGUGGUAUGCGGUUAUUUACUUGCUUUCUGAAGGAAUGUACCAAAUCUACAUACCAAAUUGAGCUGGCUCUAGAAGAACUUGUUACAUGUCUGCUUGCUAUAUUCCACUUCAGAAUCCAUGUUGAUGCAAGCUUCGCCAUCAAACUACUGACAUACCAAUAGAAUCGUUGGGUGCAAACAUUACAGAGUGAAAUAUGGCUCAAAAUUAUCAAUCAAAAAACAUGCUAUACACUUUAUACCUUUGCUUUUGAUAUUAUGAAGAGCAGUGUUCUAGACCUAUAUUUGGCGAUAGCUCUUCGAAUUUUCUUUGCUGGAGUUCGGUGCAUAGACUUAAUUCUUACUCAGCUCAUAAAUCCAAAAAUUCUCAAUAUGAAUAGAAGUAUCUUUUGGCCUGAUAAACAUGAAAAUAUGAGAGAGCAAGCUUGCUUCAUGUCAUGGGGUGUGUUUGACUGAUACAUUCCAUGACUCUGAUAAUGCCAUAUUCUUGGAAAGCUGAUUCAAUAGUUAUUUCAUGAGUGCCAUGAAUGGAUGAUAUAUGAAGAUUAUUCAUCUGCUAGCUUUACAAAAUGAGACUGUAUGUUAUGUUUUCUUGUAUAAAAAAGGAAGAAGUUAGACAGAAAGGGAUUUUGGUUUUAUAAUGUACCAUUAGUUCUUGAACUUUUUAUAGCCAAUUGAGACCUUAAACGACCUAAUUUUAUUUUUACUCUUUUUUUGUCCCCUGACUUUAAAGUAGUUUGAUUGAUCUCUCGUGCAUCGCAAUUCUCAUUGGCAGCUGUGGUACUCUAUCCUCGUCUUCUUCAAAGCGACUUUUUUGCACAUCGUGAGUUUUGUUUCACGCUCGAGUGAAGGCUGGGGCACAAUUACAAGGGGAUAAUGGAGUGCUGCAAUGGUGAUUGAUGAGGCGAAAAGCGUGGGUGAUAGAGUCCAUUUGGACUGCUCUGUUCUGUCCAAAAUUCCACGAGGUAAGAAUGGAACAAACUCAUCCGUGAAUUUGAAUGAUGGCUUGGGCAUAGAGGGAGAGUUUAGAGCUUCCAAAGCCAUUGAAAGCUGCAUGAACAAGAUUAUCUUCCACUGCCAGUUCUUGUCCCUUCUCUAUUUCUUCCACUGCCAGCUGCGUAGACUCAAUUAUUCGUCUGCUAGCUUUACAAGUUCAUCCAUGAAUUUGUGAUUUUGCCUAACUGAAUCCAGCUUUAAACCACCCCCUCCUCUCCCCCCCCCCCCAAACCCCCCUCUCAAGGGGGAAAAAAGAACCAAACCCAUUGUUUAAUUUACCGGUUUAAAUGUUUUGACUACUAGUUUUGGGAAGUUUGUUCUAUUUGUUUUGUUUAGUAUUUUUAUGUAGCAGCUUGUUUCAAAGCAAAGUGAUAUUCAAUCUAUUAUAUCAAUGCUCAGGUCAAUUUAGAUGGAUCAGGAUAUUCUAUAUACACAAAAUUUCAUGUAAAGUUUUUUUGGAGGAUUGCUGCUAUCCCUUGGUGCAAUGCUGGAAUAAAACCAGCGUAAUGGAAUCUUGUCUUGUAGACUCGCUGUGGAUGAGAAUUGUUCUUAUUGCGCUUGGGAGGCAGUCUCUUUUAAUCUCAUGCUGUUGGUACAUAUCCACUAGCAUCUAUCUGUAUUUCCUCCCAAUCCUGUUAAGUUGUUCGCUUUAAUAAUCAUAUCGGAAGGACUUAUGUUAUCACAGGUUUAAAAGUACCAACUAUGGAUGGAAAGUUGAAGUUAACUCUUGAAAAAUAAUGGUUAGUGGAGGAUUCUAACUGAGUUUAUUAUUAUUUUUUCAAAACUUCUGUGCAUCAUUGCUAGAAAGGAUGAUGUCGAGAUGACUUUGUUUUCUCAUGUUUUUUUUUUUUUUUUUUGGUCAGAUUGUUUUCUUAUAAAUUAAAAAGUAGAAAUGAGAAACUAAUUUGAGUUGGAUGGCCUCGACUCAAUGCUAGGUGGCCCCAAGUUUAUAAUGCAUCAAUUGUGGUGGCAUAGAUGGAAAUAUUCUUGCAUGCUAGAAGUGCUUGGAUAGAUAGUAUACGCAUUAGAUACGGGUGAUAAUUUUAAGAAACAUAUACCAUAGACAAUCCUUGUUGGGGAAUCAUCAAGGGAUAGACUUGAACCAUAGACAAUCCUUGUUGGGGAAUCAUCAAGCAAAGGGCCACAUGAAGCCAAGGUCAAACCAUAAAAAAAAUGAACUCUCCACUACUCAAUUUAUAGGUCAUUAGCUGCCUGGCCUUUUUACGUGUCUUUGGAAAAUGAAAAUCUCUUUUAUAAACGCCAAUGUUUUGUCACGAAGAAACUGACCGGCUAGUCCACCAUCAGAACUUCAAAGACAUGAACAUUGCAGAAUGCACAAUUAAUUGAUCGCCCUUCAAUAUACAGAAGACCAUAUAGAUGGUGAAACCUUCCAUAUGAACUCUCAAGAGUUAACUCCCAUUGUUUUCCAAAACUUGGAUCCUCUUCAUACAAAUCUUUGAGGACUUCAAAUCCACCAACAUUGAUUUACAUGGUAGAAGAGAGGAGCGCAUAUCAGCGGCAUAAAGCGUCCUUGACUGGAUUUUGAGUGCCAGAUUUAUGUUUGAGAAAAGAAUGGAAAGGACUACAGAAAUCCAUUCCAAGUUGCAUGUGGGCAAUUAAGCUUCUGUUGAGAGUUGUACCUGUUAAGUGGUCAAUGAUCAGAGUACGAAACAAACUCUUUUGCUAGCAAAUGGUGCCUCCACUGCUUGAGGGCAGCAUAAAACUCAUCAUAGGUCGAAUACUUCAGCUCGACAUCAUUCAAAUUUUCAUUACCGGGACAAAUGGAAGACCUUCUUGAUUGAGAACAGCACCAAUACCAAAUCAGCGUUCGGUGGUGCUAACACAGGAGCUUUAGUUAAUUUCUUCUUUAAGGGUUCAAAACUCUUUUGUGCCUUUUCACUCCACCGAAACCUCUCUCCUUUUAAGCAUUCCGUAAUUGGUGCAGCAAUGGAAGUGAAACUCUUUCUAAAUCUCGUGAAAGCUUCGCAUCUCAUGAUGCAACUUCGAUUCACAAGCUCCCCCGCGAGAAUGCUCAUUGACCCAAUCAAAUGUCACACACGUCCUCCCUCUUUUUGCCAUAGCAUCAAAAAGGGCUUCAGGGGAAAAUAAGUAGAUCAAGUGCUUUCAACAAUUCUAUGUACUCGAGCUCAGGUGUACACAUAAGCUCACAAGGCAACAUGAUCAGAAGAAUCUUAAAACACAUCUUCAAGUAAGAAACAAGCCACAGUGUUCUUGAAAAAUAAAGACAACACAUAAUAACACUAAUAAGUUGGUGGAGGAAGAGGAUAUUGUGGAAAGAAAUGAGGAUUUUGGAGGAAAAUUGAAGCAAAUCGACUGAACAAUUGAAGUUCCUCCAUAAUUUCCCGCAAAUCUCAUCGCAGACCAUGUGGGAUCUCCCUCAAAGCCAAGUAAGCUGGAUAGAGAGGGCCUCUACCGAUGGAUCAGCUCCAUUUCCAUAGUAUCAACUCCAGCAGCUGGUGUUAUACAGUUGUGGGCUAUACCCCUAAAGUUUGGUUUGGCCAUCCCAAGCAUUCUUCCACAUCCAAACUUCUUCUUUUUUUCUGAUGUCCAUAUCUGUUAGUGUGGACUCUCCGAUAAAUUGGUGGUCGUUUAGGACUCUAGGCAUCUCACCUCUGAGGUCGACAUCAAAAGUUCCAAAUAUGCCAUCCCCGCACGGAAAAUUUGGUCCUUUUGGAGGUCGCUUCGGGAGACCUAAAAACUGUUCUUGGACCUUGAACGCCAGCUUGAACAAAUCAACUCUGAGACCAGAAACGGGAAGCAGGCAGUAUAUCACAAUCGUAUGGAGACUAUGCUAUCACAAUCGUAUGGAGACUAUGCUAUGCAUAUUGACAUUCUAAUGCAGCGUGUUAGGAUCAUGAACUAACCGCUUCACUUGUUGUGAAAAAAGUGUCAUUUUUUUCUCAUGGUCGUGUAAGUAUCACUGACAACUAAAGGCCGCAACUCAUCCUUGGAAUUAAUGUUAAAAAAUAAUCAACGUUCCAUUGACAAAAAGACUCGUAAAUUAUGUUCUUCUUAUCAUCCUCACCUUUGAUCAAAUGAGUAUAAAACCCUUUCACAACUUCAAAAUAAAUCUCCUUGGACACCUUCCUUCGCGGUCAGUCGUCUUCCGUCAUCACUCGCGGCCAUUCCCUUACCACAGCCCAAAAAUUCAAUCCAUCCUAUGUUUUACACUGAUCACUGUAGCCAGCGUACUUGGAGUCCUCAUUCCGGCUUUCGAUCAUUGCUCGUCGCUUUGGAUCUCUUGCUUCUGUGAAGUAUCGGGAGGACCGUUGCCUUGCCUCGUUUCGGAGGCAAAAACUCUGAAGCUGUCAAGUCCCGCUCGAUCUCCACGAAUCCAUCUCAAGUUCGUUGAUCGACACUUACCUGAACCUCCAUGGACGAGUCUAAUCAGCACUCGUGGUUGAAAAUCCCUCCUCGGCAAGGUUGGUUUUGCAACAUUUUUUUGGUCAUUUCAUAAAUGAAGAUUUAGUUUGAAGUUGACGGUGGUGUAUGUCUGGGAAGAGACCAGGUUUGAAAUCAUUCUUUUGCCUCGAUCAAUCAAACCCUUUCUGCAAAGAAAGAAAUAUUUGGAUUGCGUUGUGGUGUUGAUACACUCAUUAUGUCUUUUUUCCUAAGAUGCUCACCAACCGUUUGAUAGAAUGCAUGAGUUAAAUCUGUGACCCUCGCCUCGUGUCGUUGAUUGAUUAGGAAGCAAAACUAACACGUUCGGAUUGAUUUUGUUGGAAGAUACUGAUUAUGGGAUGUGAUUGCUAGUCUAAGCAUUGUGGAUCAAACUUUUUUCCCCAUUCACUACGGUUCUGCUUUCCAGUACACUUUGGUCUCCCAAUAUGUUACCAGCUACCUAUUUUUGCUAUUUUUUUGCAUCUCUAUGGCCACAUGGUGUGGUCGUUUUUCUUGGCGAGAAACGUGGCUCGAAAUCUUUGACCCAUACGUUGAUUAGCUGCGUAAAUCUCGCGCUGGAUGAGGUCCAGUUCUUUACGCUCAUAUCCUGCGUGUGUUUCCGCUAAUCUGGGUUUAUGCAUGACGAUUAACGAAUGAUGGCCGUGCUCCAGGCGACUGAAGGNNNNNNNNNNNNNNNNNNNNNNNNNNNNNNNNNNNNNNNNNNNNNNNNNNNNNNNNNNNNNNNNNNNNNNNNNNNNNNNNNNNNNNNNNNNNNNNNNNNNAUCAUUGUGGUUUUCGAGUUGAAUCGUUGAUGAGGUUGAGUUGGUUUCUUUAGCAAAGCAAAGCUCUCAGGAUGUGCGCGAGGAAGAUGAUAGAAAGAAGACGACAGGGCAACAAAGAAGAAUAAGAAUGAUAGAAGAGAACAUAUGGGAAAAUGGGCCUCUUAAUGGACAAUGAAUUCACUGUGAGCUUAGAAUGAGAGAGCUGGGUUAGUGCCGUGUGAUUGGGCUAUAGGCCUCGUUUCUUUUUAGCGAAUUUGUGUUUGAUUAGUUUCAAGAGGGAAUUGGGCUCAAUUCUAUGAUUGAGCCCGGUUUGAAUUUUUGAUUGAAUCCUCUUAAGGCAAUAAGCCCAAUGAAUCGUGCCCAUAGAUAUGAUAUGUGUCAGCUCGAGUCUGUGCCGGGUCUGAAGACCCAGCCUAGACCCCUAUUUUCGAAAUAUAUAAUAAUAAUAAAUAAAAUUUAAUGAUCUAAAAAAUAUAAAAAAUCAAAAAAAAUUGAAAUAUGGUUAGAAACACAUACCUUGCUUAGGUCGUUAAGCCAUAGUGUUCUCGAAAAAUACGGGCAACACGUAAAAACUCUAAUAAACUUGGUGGAGUAGGAGGAUAGUGUAGAAAGAAGCGAGAAUUUUGGAGGAAAAUUGAAGCAAAUCGACUGAACAAUUGAAGUUCCUCUCAAUUUGCCUCAAUCCUUGUCACAUCUCAUUGCGGACCAUGUGGACCUCUGCUCAAAGCCAAGUAAGCUCAUAAAGAGAGCUCGCAGUGGAUCACCUUCAUUUCAUCCUAAUAUAAACUCCGACAGUUAGCCGCAUAUAGUGACGAUGGCUAUAUCCCUUUAAGUUUGGUUUGGCCAUCCCAAGCAUUCUUCCUUAUCCAAACUUCUCCUUUCUUCUUGUGAUGACCAUACCUUUUAGCGUGGACUCUCCAAUAAAUUGGCAGUUGUUUAGAACUCUAGGCGUCUAACCCCCAAGGUCGACCUCCUUUUGGAGGUCGCUUCACUUGUUUGGAAAAAGUCAUCAUUUUUCUCAGUCAUGUAAGUAUCACCAAUGGCUAAAUGCCUCAGAUCACCCUUAGGAUUAAUGGUCGAGAAUAAUCAACAUUCCAUCCACAAAAAGACUCGUAAAUUAUUUUCUUCUUAUCAUUCUUGCCUUUGAUCAAAUGAGUAUAAAACCAUUUCAUAGCUUUGAUAAAUGUCCACGGACACCAACUAGAAAACCAAAUCCAACCCGACUAGCUAAACCAUUUGCCUAAAUGGAAAUCUCUCCCAUGUAAAAAAACUCAAAAGUCUAUAGUUCGUCUCUUCCAACACACUUCUAGCAUAUCUAUGGAAACAAGCUUGGUUCCAUUCGUGGAACCCAACUUGCAGAGCAGUCGAUGCGACCUCGUCUUUGCUUUGUUAUGCCCUCCAGUGUGAUGAAGAACUACUUCUCCUCUUUUCCAGCUAUGUGUUUGAUCAGGCUGCAUCCACAAGUUGCGAGCUUUUAGAUAUAUUUAUGCAAAUGGUUACUCAAAGCUUCGUAAGUUUCUGCACAAAAUGGAGAAUAAUUCAGACAUUCAUGAUUGCGCCAUCAGAUUGCUAAAUCUAAUUUAUCUGGAUCUAAGAAAUUGCAAUCUAUCAUAAGUGGAUUUUCUUAUGGAUGAUACUUGUUUUUCCACCUUGAUGUAAUAUAAUGUCGAUCAAGACAUCUAAUUAACGUUGAAAAAAUUCACGCACAAAUAGGUUAGAUCUAUACACAUGCUAAUAUUGUUAAAACACCUAAUAAUACUCUUUCUUGAAGAAAGUCAUGCAACUAGGUGUUAGAGAAUAUAUAGAUAAGAUCAAAUGGAGAAUAAAUUACCCAAACAAAGUACCAAAUCUUAGGCAACUCGUUAAAAUAUAUAGAGAAGAUCAAAUGGGAAUAACCACCCAAACAAAAUACCAAAUCUUGGGCAACUCAUUGUUCAUUGUUAACUUCUGUUUCCUGAUUCUAAUGGCGUCUUCUUCUUCUUUCAAUUCCAGAACAAGUUUUAAAGUCUUUGUAUGUUUUAGAGAAGAGAACGUUGGCAACAACUUUGUCACACAUCUAUACGCAAUCCAUGCUGGAAUAUCUUACUUCCAUGUUCAACGAAGGGGGAAAGAUGAAGAGAAUCUAAUGGUCACGAUUCCAAAGAUGAUUGAGGAAUCAGACCUUGCAAUCAUCGUUUUCUCUGAGGACAUCUAUUCGGAGUUGUGUUUGGAAGAGGUGGCGAAGAUCAUGGAGUGCAAGAAGCAAAGAGACCUCAAGUUCUUUCUGUUGUUUUACAAAGUGAAAUUAGAUACAGUAUGUGGAUUGAAAGAGAGUUACCGAACUGGUAUUGAAUAUUUUCAAAAGAGGCUUUGUAAGGAUGUGAGGAGAUUGAUGAGAUGGAAGGACACUCUCCAGGAGGCGGGUAGCUUGUCCAGGCGGUACUUGGAUGAUGAUAAGUAAGUAGUAAUUUUGCCACUAACUCUCUCUCUCUCUCUCUCUCCAAUAGACUUUCAUCCAACGCUCACACAGCACGGAGAACACUUAUGCUGCACAAGAAAUUGAGAACCUCCUCUCCAAGCCUCCGUCGAUUCACCACGCCACCCCAACCGCGUCACCUCAACCCCCUCUAUCUCUCUACGUCCAUCGGCUUAAGGGAAUGAAUCUAGGCUCGUGACCCCAAAUCUGGGGUUGCUACCCUCGGGCAAUGGUCACCUGGGGCUGGCUACGGCUGAGACGUUCCGCUUGUCUUUCGUGACAGAGGAACAAAAAUGGAGAGACAGGUUGUAACAAUAGCUAGGACAGGCGAUGGUGACGGGAACGCAAAACAGAGAAAGAGAGGCGCAACGACAGCUAGGACAGGCGAUGGUGAUAGGAACGCCGCGGUGGCAAGGACAUGAUGGUGGGGUGAACGCGAUGACGGCGAUGGCAGAGCAGUGGGAAAGUCAGCGGGGAGAAGCGAAAGGGGCAGGGGAAACUUCAAGUUGCUUUUAAGCGUCAAGUAACAAAUUAAAUUCAGACCAAAAAAAAAAAAAGUAACAAAUUAAAUUCAGAUUUUGUAUAUAUACCCAUAACUCACAAUUCUGAAUCUACGAAUUGAGAUAUUUGUUAAAAGAAAAAUUGCGCAAAUUUCAAAUGAUCAAGUGUAGUCAAAAUCAAAGACACUACAAAAUUCAUAAUCAUCUGGCCUAUAUUAACCUAUAUUUGUAUACUAUAUUUUCUAUAUAUAGUUGUAAUCAAAGCUAAAAGAAUAUUUACUAUACUUGCCACAUAAUUGUUCAAAAUGUGCUCAAUUAUUGUCACUUGGUAAGGCACAUGGCAUAAUUGUUCCACUUGGCUCAUAAUCUUAGAGUACAUUUUGCAAUAUGUGUGUUUGAAAUAAAAAUUUUAAGUAACAUAUACUUAGGUUUUUUUUUUUUUUGAACUUAUGGUAAUUUUUAAAGUGUGAGAAAUUUGACUCAAUAAUAUCCAUAAUGCAGGUUGUUGUGAAUAUAAAUCAUGAUACCCAACUAUAUAUAAGUACGUAAACUGUACAAAUAAAUCAUAUAUAAUCUAGUCCUAAAUGAAAAUAAUGUAAUUUAACUUCAUCAGGUAUGAGCUUAAUUGAACUAUUACAAAGAAAUUAGUUGAAGAACAAUUAAAUUUAUAAAAGAAGACGAAAAUCAAGCACAAAUAAAAAAAAAUUACCAAGUUAUUUGAAACUAAAAUUAUAUCUUAUUUCUUUGCAUAAUCAAAUUCAGUUAACAAUUAAAAUCGCUUUAGUCGGCGAUGAUAAGAAAAUUAAUUAAAGAAAUAUUUAAAAGAUAAAACUUAUAAAAUAUUAAAAUAGUAAUAUGAAAAUAAAAAAGAAAUCCUCCUAAUAAAAGCAUAAUAAAAGUGCACCUAUUAUAUUAACUGAUAAAAUUAUACUUAAUUCCCUUGAUUAAAUAAUACAGUAUGAAUAAAAAUUAAGCUCAACUUAUCCGAUUGUUUUAUUUCAUAUUCUCGGUCCUUUUAAAAUAAACUUGAAUGGAAAAUUAACUUGUCGUCGUUUCUUAAAAAAAAAAAUUGAAGAGGAAAGAGCAUCACAUUCAAUCUUCCAGUGUCGUCGUCGUCGUCUCCUUCUUCUUCCGCAGCAAGAUGGUCGUUCGACGUCUUCCUCCGCUUCAGAGGUGAGGACGUCCGCCCCGGCUUCCUCCCUUCACGGCGGCAUCGACGCCCACAUCGACGGCGAGGGCUUGAGGCCUGGCGUGCGAGAUCCUGCCGAGCGCUCACGAAAGCCAUCGAGGAGUCGCGGAUCGCCGUGCUCGUCUUCUCUGAGGACCACGCUUCGUCUGGGUGGUGCUUGGACGAGCUCAGUGGAGGAAGGUGAUGGAGUGGAAGGGGCUCAUGGGGACAGCUGGUGUUGCCCCUGUUCUACAGCGUGGAGGCGAGGGAGAUUCGAUGACAGAGAGAGAGGGUUAUGGCAAGGCAUUGGCUAGUCACCGAUUUGUUCGGUUGGCAUUAUUAUGACCAUGGGUAAGCGCAGUAUUCCUGUUCGACCUUGUAAAAGAAUAUGGAAUUCUCUAAUCUGUUGAUACUUGAUGGGAUCGAUUAGUGCGAUGGAGUCAUUUUUUGGAAUGUUACGGAGUGGUUGUUUUCUUCGUGUUAGUUUUUAUUUAGUUCAAUGGAUCGUAUAUUGCCAUUAUUGCAUUGGCGGAGAUGAGACCAAGUUCAUCGAGAGCAUUGUCAAAGAGAUCUCAAUUGUAGUUAGACGAGUACCCUCGAGUGUUGCCAAGCAUCUGUCGGUGUAGGUUGCUGGGUAGAGAAAGUAAGAUCAUAGUUAAGUACGGGCUUGGAUGAGGUUCGGUUGAUAGGAAUAUGGGGAGCGGGAGGUAUAGGGAAGAGCACUUUCGCUAAAGCUGUCUAUAAGAGUAUCACUAGUCAAACAGUAUAACUGGUCAGUUUGGUGGGUGUAGCUUUCUUCCAAAUGUUAUAGAAACUUCCAGUAAACCGGAUGGCCUGGUUCAUUUGCAAACGGCACUCUUCUCCGAGAUACUGUGGAAAUAAAAUUUAAUGGCCUUCAGUGUGGAUGGGGGCGUUAAACUAAUACAAGAUAGACUUUGCUACAGGAAGAUUCUGCUUGUGCUUGAUGAUGUGGAUCAUGGGGACCACUUGAAUGCGUUAGCUAGAGAAUGUGAAUGGUUUGGAAAAGGGAGCACGAUCAUUAUUAUGACAAGAGAUAAACAUGUACUGACUUCUCACGGGAUAGAUCAGGUAAAUGAAGUUAAAUCAUUAGAUCAAGGUGAAGCUUUUGAACUUCUGAGUUCAUAUGCUUUUCCAAGAAACCAGAAAGGAGACAUACAUUGUGAUCUCAUACAUAAUAUUUUGGGCUAGGCUAAUGGUCAUCCCUUAACAGUUCUGGUCUUGGGUCUGUUUUUAUGUGGUAGAAGCAGAGGGGAAUGGGAGAGUACAUUGGGUAAACUUGCCGAAAGUCCUAAUAAAGAUAUAAACAGCAUUCUGAAGAUAAGUUUUGACACAUUGGGGGACAAUGAGAAUGACCUUUUUUUUUACAUUGCUUGCUUAUUUAAAGAGAGGGAUAGUGAUUAUGUAACCAAAGUUCUUGAUAGUUGUGGUUUAAAGACAUUAAUUGGGACUCAAACUUUAAUAAAGAGAUCUUUAAUAAACGUUGAGAAUCAGAGAACAGUACAAAUGCAUGACUUGAUUUGGCCGAUGGAUUAGGAUAUCAUAAAACAAGAGUAUCCAAAUGACUUGGGAAAUGGAGUAGAUUAUGGUGCUACGAUGAUGUUUUUGAAGUAUUUUCGGAGGAAAUUAUGAGAGCUCCUCAUGACAUCAUUGAUAAUAUUUUCUUUAAUUUACACACUAUUCCCUAAUUUGGGUUGGGUAAUAAUAAUUAUUUUGUUUUCCUUGACAGGGAACCAAUGUUGUUAGAGGCAUAGUGUUGGGACUUACCAACACAAGAAGAGCUAGACAUCAAUCCGAGUGCUUUCACAUAUAUGAGGAGACCGAGAUUGCUCCUAGUCUUGAAUGCACAGCUCAGCAGAGUUCCCAUAUGUCUUCUAAAAGAUUUAAGGUGGCUUGAAUGGCCUUAGUAUCCUUUAUCAACUCUGAAGUUUAGUGCUGGUCUAAAGAAACUUGUUUGGUUUGAUGUGCAUAAUAGCCAGAUUAAAGAAUUAGGAGAUAACUUAAAGGUACAUCAUACAUUCUUUUAUUAACGGUUUCCAUUUUCGUGCCUUUCACAAAGUGAAAUUUAUCAAAACCUUGUUUGGCUGUUCUUUUUAAUUUGCAGCAUUUUAGGAAUUUGAAGUUCCUAAUUCACAGUUGCUCUAAGUCUCUUAUUAGUGUUCUGGACAUAUCAGAGAUGCCAAAUUUGGAGACAGUGAACUUAAGUAGGUGCUCGAACCUCAAGGAGCUUCCAAGCAAACUGAAGCUAAAAUAUCUUUGAAACUUGAUGUAACUGGCUGCUCUAAGCUUGAUAAAUUUCCUGAUAUUAAGGAUAUAAGGAGCUUAACAAAACUUCAUAUAUCUCAGAUCUCCAUUAAAUAACUUCCUGCAUCAAUUGGAAACCUUAUCUCUGUUGAGGAUUGUGGAAAAGUCUUAUCAAUCUUCCUAAUAGCAUUUACGAGACGCAAAAUCUAGAGCACCUUUCUUGAAGGGUUGUUCACUAUUUAGCUUGUUUCCAGGGAGCAGUGAGAGCUCCAAUCUCCCUAAUGAUAGACUUGGAUUCCAAAUUUGGUCUCCCCGAAGCUUAGUGGGUGCAAGCUGUCAGAGGAAGAAUUUCUUUAGUCUUACCUGCUUCUCUGUUGUAAAUAUUUUGCAUCUCUAUGGAUAUAAUUUUGUUAGUCUUUCUACAUGCAUUAGCAAGUUUGAGGAGUUGAUGGUCCAUUAAAAAUUAGAUGACUAGAAGCAAUUGCAGGAGAUCUUGGAGCUUCCACCAAACAUUUACACCCUUGAAGCAAAUGGCUGCAAUGCAUUGUCCAGAUUUCCAAAUUUGCCUAUUCAGUGCAUUCAGUCCUCCAUGUCAGUGUACGUUCGCUUAGAUUCUUGUCAUGGAUCGGUUCAUGAAGGUAUCGACCUAGUUAACAUUAUACAUGUGCAUGAGCUGAUGUGAUUUCUGAUUUAAUAGAUUUGCUAUAGCCGGAUGUUGGUUAGAUAGGUCACUACAUGGAUACUAUAUUUCCUGGGAGAGGGAUAUGAUGUUGGUUUAUCCAAAGUCAAGAGCGUUAUGUCUCUUUCUAGGUACCCCGAGAUUUGUGCAGGAGGGUUUUGUGUGUUGCUUUUGGAUUGGAGGAAGAAAAUGAGGCUUAUUUUUCAUUUGAGGUUUGGGUAUUGGUGAAUCAUGUUCAUAGUAAUUAUGAUACAAGAACAUUCUCUUUUUACAGUUUGAUCACCUGUGGUUUAAAUAUAUUACAUGCCGUUCAUUUGAUGAGCUGGAUGAGAUGUUGGAGACUGAGUGGAGUCUCUAGGUUUCAUUUGAAGUAUCAAAAGUAACACUAAGAAGGUGUAGGUUUGGCCUUAUAUGGAAGCAAGUAAAGCAUGGCCUAAGGAAGCACCUCAAGCUUUCUAAAUAAUCUCAAUUGUCAUAUAUAUAUUCUUGAUUCAUGGCAAAAAGGUCCACUUCUGGAUUGCAGUUAAUUUGAGUAUUUGAUAUAAUGCUUAUUGUUAACUUGUCGCAUUUUCUAAGUGAUUUCUUGCACUCCGCUUUCAGCAACUUUAGCAUUGUGCUGUUUCUUGGUUAGAAUGACCCUCUUGUCCAUUGUCUGAUUUCUUGUGGAUAUGAGACAACCACACUGACUGUCACCUCAAGCAACUUCAUCUAGGCUUGUGACAAAAGAUGGAUGGAUGGGACAUUUGUCGAUUUUGGCUAGUGCUAACGCAAAGUUGUGGAAAUUGAAUUGCAAGGGACUACUUUUCAGAUGCUCAAAAUUAUACAUGUGGACCAUUUAUAUUUUUUAGCAGCCAUAAAUUCAAAAUUUUUGUAGCUAAGUUUUGCUUUAGGUAGGUAGGAGUAGCCCAAAUGCUGAGAUGUAAAUAGAGUUGAAAGAAGUUAGGUAGAUCUUGUCUUUUGGCCUCAAUGUAAGUAUUGUUUGAGUCACUAUGAUUUUGUGAUUUAAAAUAUGCUAGAUUUGUAUUGCUUCUUGUGCUUUACUCCCGUGGAUCCUAUAAUUUUUUCCAGAUUGCUUAUUGCGUCGCAAUACAAAGUAUCAGUGUCAAGACACAAGAAUACUGAAGUUCUUGUUGAAGUUCUAGAUUUUUGCUCUCUCUUUUAUGUUUAUGCAUCCAUUAAUCUAUUUAAUUUUCCCCCUUUUAUACUAGUUGGAAUGCUUAUUAUGCAAGAUUGGGGCCAAUGUCAUAAAAAAAAGUACCAACUUUAUUGUCCCAAAUCUGGCCCAAACUAUAUUUUGUCUAAAAAAAAGCCCAAACUUUUAGUAGCAUCCCAAAUUUGACCUCCGUUAACCAUCCUUCCAUAGUCACCGUUAGUGGCUUUCUCUUCUUCCUUCUGCUCAUCAAGUCUCUCUCUCUCUCUCUCUCUUUGACAUCCUCCGGCUAGAGUCACCGCCAAGCUUGACAUCUGCGCGUCCGCCGCCGAUGCCCGUCCAAGCCAACAUUGCACGUCCAAACCAAACCACCCCUCCGUCGUCCUUGUUGUUAGCUUCAUCUUCGCCGGAAGGCGUCCUCCAUCUCCAGUGUCUUUGUGGUCAUCUUUACCCGUUUUUUGCCUGAGCAAAUGGCCAAAAAUCUGGAAAAGAUAGAAAUCUCUAGAAAAAAAAAUCUUGGGAAAAAUCUUUGAGACAAGGAAGGGGCAAUGGGUUUCUUGGCUUGUCUUUUUAGCCAAAAGAUUUGACGUUUAGAGGAGUUUACAGAGCAACGUGGGUCAGAAAUCAGUGGGUCUCUUGGCUUGUUCUUUUGGCCAAACAUAGAAGACAUGGCCACAAACAACUCGAGCUAUGCAGAAUCCGUAAAAGCUAGGUUAUGGGAAAUCUCUAGAAUCUUGGGAGAAAAAAAAAAAGAAACCCAAAAACUUGAAUGCUAAAGGUUUCAUUUUAUUCAUUGCAGCUCAUGGCUGGAAUAGGAAAAAAAGAAGAAGAGAAACUCAUACUUGAAUGCUAAAGUUGAUUCAGAAAUUCACAAUCUGCUCGCGAUUCCCUCUAUUCAUCUUCGUCUUCAUCUUCUUGAUGGCCAACUCCAUAUCUGAAACAAAGCCCCAUCCAUGGCCGCGACAAGCGAGGUCAAAGUAGGAGGAAGAGAGAGAGAAAAAGACUUGGGUGAGUCGAUAACCCACCGUCAUCCUCGUCGUCCUCCUCUUCCUCGCCGUCAUCCUCGUCGUCCACGCCGCCGCGCCCAUCUCCUUCGCCGUUCACUUCCUCCUAGCUUUGCAUGCCGUCUUCCUCCUCUUCUUCCUCAUCAACAGUGGCAGGGACGCAAUUCUCCUUCACAACCCUAACUUCCUCGUCCUCUUCGAACUUGAUCUCCUCUUCCUCGUCGGAAUUCAUUGUCGCAAUCACGACCUCAUGCACGCCGGGACAAUAAUCCGGUGAUUUCUCGGCUCGAUUCUGAACAAAAAUGAACGGAAAUCUUCGAGAAAAUGGAACAUAAUGGGAAAAAAUUUUCUGGGUGACGUGAAAAUGCCUCAAAUGACUAACGGCGAUGACUAACGGCGACUGUAGAAGGAGAGUUAACGGCCAGAUUUGGGAUAUGAGUUAAAGUUUAUGCUUUUUUUUUAAACAAAAAAAAGUUUGGACCAAAUUUGGAAAAACACCUAAAGUUGUUGUUUUUCUUUUUAUGGAAUUAGGCCUACAAGAUUGUAUAAGAAAUACAAUUGAUGUGAAGGUUAGCUUUUCCAAGUUUCAGAUGUAGCUCUCUGUCUGCAUUUAACCAAAUUAAGCUGGCAAGUAUUAAUUUUACUCUUUUGCAGAGCUUUUGGCUGUUCUGUCUCUGUGAAAGUUUGAACAAGCAAAUAGUUCCAUAUGUUUUAUACUACAAGUAUCAAUUGUUGGAAAUCUCUCUGCUUUUUGACAAAUUCAUGGUGUGUUUACCUUCGAAUGCUCAGAGAUAUAUACCUUCCUAUUUUUCAGAAUGGUAUUUCGCUGUGCAUCCAAAUGAUCGCCCUUCUAUUUGCCAUUUUAUUGCCUUGUUUCUAUUUCUAUGACAAAGGGUGGCAUUAGUUAUGUUAGAGGAUAUCCUAUGAAGGUAGGAGGCAUCUAGAACAGAGUUGAUGUUUCAGUUGCAUUUGCAAGUUAGAUUCCUAGGUAGAAUCCC
rnacentral:lncRNA from 1 species